AAGAAGUCUUUUAACAAUAUUUUUUUUUCUUUUUCAGUUAAUCAUGUCAUAUACCGUUAUCUAAAACGCUGGCGAUAUUAUUAUUCCUCACUUUUCUCAAAAAAAAAAAAGAAAAAAAAAAGAAACAUGAUUAACGUUUAGAGAAAAGUCAUGCCUUUUAAAAAGAAUAUGUAUACAAUAGCAAUCCAUACUUUAUAAAAUUGAUGGCGAUUACAAAGAAAAAUUGUUUAAAAUAGAUUUGAUGCACAAAUAUGAUGACUUUUGGCAAAAAUUAGUUUCGGAAAUGUUGAGAUGAAAACCAUAUUAAUUGAGAAUUAAAAUUAUUUAACUACCAUCUAAUAGAUGAAAACCAUAUCAAUUGGGACUUAAAUUAAAAUUUAAAUAUUGAAAUAUCUAGCAUUACUCACAAUAACCAAUUCAAAUUAUGACUAUCAUGUAGAAGCAAAUGUUUAUGCGUGGGUUUUUUACUUCUUGAAUUUGAUUGGAAAAAUUUCUAAGAUAGAGAAGUGUUUUGGAUAAGCUUUUCGGGAUUGAAACCACAAAUUGGUAGAGGAAAUUAAUUUUGGACAAAUUUUUCUUAUAUUGUAGGACCUUCUAGUUGGAGUAGUGAUGGCUUUGUCUUCAUUUUUGGUUCCUUUUGUGUCGGCAGCCCCUUACUAUUCUCUUGACCCUGAGUUUGAGAUAGAAAUUUAUCAACCUCCAACCCCACAUCCACAAACAAGUUGAUUGAAACAAUUGCUCUUUUAAUUAAGAGGACCCAAAUGAUUUAGGUUUCAGUUCUUAUCAUUUGUCUAUUAUUUCUUUGAAACAUUUAUUUUGAGCGUUACUGAUCUUAAUUAUCUGUAUUUCUCCAAUUAUUGAAGAAUUUCAAGUGGCCACUUUUUCUCCUUUUUAUAUAUGUUUAUUUUUUGGAGUGAUCAAACGGGUGCAAAAUCAAGUAUUCGCUGGUCCGUAGUUUAGCCAACUAUGGCUGAUCCACACAGUUGAUUAUAUGAUACUAUUAGCUCUCAAAAUCUUUCUUAUUUGAGAACAUAAAUUGCCCAUUAAAGUUAAACUAUGUUACCCAGCUCCAUGCACAUACAUUAAAUGUUUAGGUAGUUUUACAAAAUGAUAACAGCAUGCCAAAACUUGAUGUUGUCAUAUUCGACAUUUCAAAUUGAAAAAUACGCAAGCAAUCUUCAGUGAACAUUACGUGUUUAUUGAAUAAUUUAAAUGGCCAGUAAAUCAACAGUCCGUGAGUUUUAAAUCUAUUAUGACUUAAUGUAUCUUUCUGUAUUUGUACACAUAUUAUAUUAUCAUAGUUUAAAAUUUUAAUAUUAUUUUAAAUGUUAAAAAUACUUUAAUGCUAUUAGUCUACUACACAGGUUAUAUUAUUUAUAUUAUAUUUGUAUUAAUUAAAACUUUUAAUGUCAAUUUUCUAAUUACUAUAUUAAUAAAGUAUUAUGGUUAAGAAAAAGUUUUGGCAUUUCUUCUUGAAAAUUUGAGGGUCUGCAUGACAAUUUUUCCAUAUUCUAAGGGUAUAAGUUUGAAAAUUUAACAUUCUCUAAAUUGAUGAAACAAAAAGGGGAAACCAAGAACUAUUCAAUUUUGUAUUUUUUGUUUGUAAUUCAAAAAAUGCAUCCACCAAACAAGUUUUACGCAUUAAUGCUGUCAUAAAACGAAAAACAAUUUGCCAAAAAAGGGUACCAAACAUAUCCUUAAUGUCUCACAUGAUUUCUUAGUAAGCCCGUAUUAGAUAUAUUUAUACAUUUUAGGUAUUUUAGUUAUAAAAGAAGUUGGCCCUCCCUUGUUUAUAAAAAAUAACUUUAUUCAUGCACAUAUGCCAAAAGAAUAAAUAGACAGAAAGUAAAUUUACAGUCCUCACUUCCUCACAAUUGUUAACGUGAAGAUGCAUUACAACUGUGAACUGUCACUACUUUAGCCUUUUUUUUUAAAAAAAAAAAUUAUAGUGUGAUGGAGACAUUAAGGAUGAGCAUAACAGUUAAAGAUGACUCAUUUUCUUUUUAAAGUGCUCUGCUGAAAGCCGAACUUCCUUUGGCUAAUUAAUUUAGAAGUAAAGCAGAGAAUAAAGUCCUAGACGCCUUCUGAAAUAAGAAAUACAUUUUAUAUGCUUUAAUUAUGAUUAUUUGGUAGACUAAAGACCUAAAAGAUAUGUCAAAAGUAUAAAACAGAGCGAUUAAAGAAAAAAGAAAAAAAACAGAGUAUUUGUGACGUAGAAUAACAAUUGGUAAAUAAAUCCUAAAUAUUUGAGUUGUUAAAAGCAAAUAUAACAGAGACGGUAAGAGAGAUGCAGAAACAGAAAACUAUUAGCUUAUCUUGAUUUUUCCACUAUAUUCAUUUUCAAUGCUUUUCAAACGAGAUUCUUUUAAUUCUUCUGGUGUCUGCAGCCCCGGCUAUUCUUAUAAAUCUCCAUCCCACAUCUGCACUACGAACAAGUUGACUGAAAUUAAAUAAUGUUGGAGAUGAAGGGUGAGCCGUCAACUUGUUAAAAAAAAACUCAUGUAUAAUAUUAUCAAUAAUAUAAAAUAUAUAAUAAUUAUUACAAAGAAUCAUAAAUUAGAAAAAUUAAUUAUUUUACAAUCUAUUUCUUAAGUAAGGUGGCGUUUGUUUUUUCAUCUGAAAUCUGAAUAGACCUGAAUUAAUCUGAAUUCUGAAUAGAUCUGAAUGUCUGAAUCUGAAUAAUAUGUUUGUUUUUUUGUUUGAAUCUUGGAAAAUAAGUAUUAAGUUGUUUGUUUUUUUCAACUUAAAAAGCUGAAAAUAUGUACUUUUACAUUUAUAUCCUUAUUAAAUUUGAAUGUCAAAUAAAUAAUAAAUUAAAUACCACAAUAUUUUAACAUUUAUAAGUAAAACUAUAUUCAAGUGAAUACAUAAUUAUUUUGGAAUUUUAAUAGAUAAAAUACUAAAAAUUUUAAAUUUUAUCGUAUAUAAUAUAAGAAAGAAAAAAUAGGAAAAUUUUCAUGUGGGGUAAAUGUUUAUGGGUGAGUUUUGGGAUAGACAUGAAAAAUAAAUUAUAAAGCAGGGAUAUUUUUGAUAUUAGCAAGUAAUUGACUUAAUUCAGAUUUCUCCAUUAAGUAAAAAGCCAAAAGAAUUGGCUUAUUUUAUUAAGUCAAAAUUAUCUAAAAAGUCUCAUUAAGUUAUAAAAACAAACACCUCUAAUUAACUUAAUUAAUUAAGUUAAGUCACUUUAAGUCAUUAAGUUAAAAAACAAACGCCACCUAAGAUAAAUCUUGUAAUAAGUUAAGUUAUAACGUAAAAAAUAUUUUCAAUUUAUAAUCAUUUAAGAAGUCAUUUAAUAAUAAAAUCUUUUUUUUUUAUCAGUAGGCCAUGCUACAGAGUAUCAUCUAUAUUCGUGGUGAUAUUAUUAUUACUCAGUAUCCUCAAAAAACACGAUUUAACAUUUAGAGAAAAUUCCUGCCUUUUAAAAAGAACAUGUAUGCAAUAGCUAGCCAUACUUUAUUUUACCACGACAAAAUUGAUGGUGAUUAAAUCAAUUUUCUCAAUUAAAGCAAAAUUUUUUAAAAUUGAUUUAAUGCACAAAUAUGAUGAUUUUUUGUAAAAAUUAGUUUUGGAAAAUAUAGUGAGAGAAAAUGGUGACGAUUAUUUUUCAAAUGUGCAAAUAGCCUAAACAUAAUCUCUAAUACCAAUAUCCAUGUGCAUCUUAACACCUUUCAUGAUAUUCUUUCAUUCAUGGCCAUUUGUUCAAGAUUUGAAUUUGAUUAUUAAAUUAUGUUCAAUAAUGUUAGAGAUCCCAACAAUUGAGUACCAACUUAAAUCCCAAUGCUAUGUGUCAUUAACAAAUGUUGUGUCAUUUAUAAUUAUUGAAUGAAUAAUUCGUUAAUUUAUUGAUAAAUGAAAAUUUAUUAAUUUAAAGAGAGAUAUUUUUUUUUGGUUUUAAGAAGAGUUUUGUUGGUACAUGUACAUACUUAUAAAGAAAUAAACUUGUAAUUAUACUAUAUCUUUCUUUCUUUGUUCAGUUUGGUGGGAUAUUGUGAUAAAUCAUUGGAUUAAAAUGCAUUUCUAAAUUGAAACUUGUUAAAAUCUAAUUUAUUUGGGAAACACAUGUUAUUUGUCAGUCGUACUUCUCAACUUAGCAAGUUAUUUCUAACUUGUCAGUCUCUAUUGGUUCUCUUAAAGUUAAUAGUCUCGAAUCUCCCGCAUUUGAUAUCUUGCCAUUACUCUUGGCAUUAACAUGUUACCUGAGAUUGGGAUUCAUUAAAAUCCUCAAUGUAAUCGGUGGAACGAAUGGAUUUCUUCUGUUCACCAAUCCACCAAAAUUUCUGUAAUUAAAUUCAAAAGUCAAGAUCUAUGCUUAUAAUCUAUUCAACAGUUAAUAUUCUAUUUUAUAUUUACUUAAAUAUGAAGAGCUAUGCUUGUCAUUAACUUCAAAUGUGAUCGAAGCAGCCUUACAUCUGUAUAUUACUUAUUCCCAACCUUUUUUUUGACUUCAUAUACUUUCUUUUCAUGUUAUUUACUCUUUUUUCCCCCCUCUCUAAUGGGGUCAAACUUGAAAGUAUCUUAAAAUCAGACAAUAAUUUUUUUUUUAUGAUAGAUGCUAAUAUGCUCUAUUAGGCAAUGAUAAGUAAUAACCUAGUUGUUUGCAUUAGAAAUGAUAUUUUUUGUGGUGCUGAUAAAGUGGUUGAGUAUGAUUCAACAAUUUAAAAUAUGAAAACAUGUGGAAGACGGCUGCAAAUAAAUUGAUUGUAUGAAAAUAUUUCAAUGAAAUUUUAAAAAUUUAAUACUUGUUAUCUUAUCGAGAGUUCCCAAAUAAUUGGGCUAGUUUAAUUACCGGCCUAAUUAUUGUAGCCACUAUUGUAUGUUCCCAAAUGAUCCCCGGGUUAGCUCAUUUAAUUGACUGCACCACUACUGGACUAAUAAGUAAGAUAACUAGCUAUUUGGGUCAAAAGCCUAAAUAUAUCAUUUAGUGGGAGGCUCCAUUUAAUUAGCUUUUGUAUAAGGGGCCUUAUGUUAUUUUACAAGGUGGGUCCCCUAUUGAAAAAGAAAAUAACGUGAGUUUUAUUUAGGGCAUUAUUUGGAGCCUAGGGUUUUCACUAAAGGGAGAUAUAUAAGGCUUAUUUUCUCUAAAGAAAAAAGAAAAGCCACUUUAUACAGAUCAGAGAAUAAGAUUUUUCUCUCCAUUGUUGAGAGAAAAAUUUUCUCGUGCUAGUUGCUUUGGUAGUGAUAAAGGCGCCCACACGUCAAGUGCAGAUCGAACCUGAGUCAUAACCUGGAAGAUCAUUGGUGACAGUUCAUGAUCUAACAAGCGUGGUGGUGACGGUUCGUGAUCUAACAAGCGUGGUGGUGACGGAUCGUGAUAUAACAAGAGUGGUGGUGGCGGAUCGUGAUCUAGGAGCCUAAAUCACUUCAGCGGAAAAAGCCAACUCGGAUUUUCAAGGUACGAUUUCUAGAAUACGAAUUCUUAUAUAUUAUAUGAGAGCGAUCUUCAAAAGGUUUUAUAAAAAUUUAAAAGCAGCAUGUGCUGCUGGCAGCUCGCUGCUGCGUAUGUAGCAACUGCAGCGCGCGAGCAGCAGCUGCAGUGCCCAAGCAGCAGCGUGAACGUGGGCUGGAGGCGCAGAGCGUUCUGGUUGGCGUCUUUCCGGCGUCGAUGACGGCUGUCCGGUGUGGAAACAGUAAACAACGGCUGGGUUUUUGUGCUGGUGGCGGCUGGGGAAGAAGAGGAAAAGAAAAAUGUGAUUUUAGGGUUCCAUGGUUUUUAUCGUGGAGGUCCCUAUAGCUUCAUAUUUUUCAGUUGGGCAGAAACGUUUUUUAAUUUUUUGCAUUUAAGUCCAAAAACCGUUUUGGGCUUAAAGAAUCCUAGUUUUAGGCCCAAUUUCAAUUGGGCUUAAUGGAUUAAAAAAAUGCAUAGACAAAAUUAAAUACAUUAAAUUUAUUUUUGGUCCAAAAGUUUUAUUUUAAUAAAAAAAAUUAAUUAUUUAUUUAUUUCCUUUCAAAAUUAAAAUUGGACCAAUUAUAAAUUUAAAAGCCCAAUUUCCCCUAGUCCAUUAACAAAAACAAGCUUAUGGAAGAUGGACAUUGACAAGAAGCCCAAUGAAGAUUAGGCAUAGGGUUAAUGUAUUUUUCAUUAUUAGGAAAGGCAUGAAUUAAGAUUAUUUAAUUGUUUUUCUAUAUGUUAUGUUUUGGAUGAUAACAUGCCAUGAUAACAUGUAAUAUAGAAUAGGUAGUGCCACUCUAUGCAUAAUGAUACAUGUCAUUCAUUAAUUAUGAAUUUCAUUAUAUUGUUUGAAAUUUGCGCAUGCUUAAUAAUAUUUGAUAUCAUCUAGAUAAUAUUAUAGGAAGCAUGCAAUUAACAAUAUGUAUGUUUUAAAAAGGAAAAACCAAUUUUAAAAUAUUGAGUGGGAGAGGGAAAAUUCAAGAUAAUUUUCCCACGGGCUCCAUUGUUAGUUCAAUAAUAAAAUUAUAUAUAUACCUCGACUUCAUGAUACAGUGAUGCUCAUUACGGAGGGUAUAUAUAUUAGAUAGUUUAUUUGAUGAACUUCUUCAAAGAUAAAAUUGAAAUAUUUUUCAAUCGAUUGUUCACCCCAACGGUGACUAUUGAUAUGAAAAAUACGUAGAUUGAAACAAUGGUUAUACACUCAACUAAAGUUUGUUAUUAAUCUUCCCAACGAAGCUCUGUUAACAAAUUUAGGCCCAAAAAGAUAACGAUAAUUAUUUAUCAUGUCUCUACAUGAAAGUAAAUAAUCCAAUGGGUAAUUGGGUCUAGUAAGUAUAGACAUGACUUCCCCACCGGAUAGCUUGUCAAAGCAGUACUAGAUUAUCGUUACAAUAAAUUAAAAUGCAUUUAUGGUUUUUUGCAUUUUUUUCAUUUAUUGUGAAUAUUGAUUCAAAUUAUUUAUGCAUGGAUGUUUUUAUUUUUCAGAAAAUGUCUUCCCUGAGCCCACUUACUAUUAUUCUGAGUCAAAACAAACUCACUGGAGAGAACUAUAUAGAUUGGAAAAGAAAUCUAUUCAUUGUCCUGACUGCUGAAAAUUAUAAAUAUGUCUUAACCCAGCCAUGCCCCCCAGUUCCAGCGGAUGAUGCUCAUAGAAAUCAGAGGAGGCUUUAUGAGAAAUGGCAAAAGGCCAAUGAAAUGGCAAAGUGCUACAUUUUAGCCUCGAUUUCUAAUAUUCUGCAGACCAAACAUCAGAACUUGGAGACUGCCACUGAAAUAAUGAAUAGUCUCCAACAGAUGUUCGGGCAGAGUACUCGCUCUGCGAGACAAGCAGCGCUGAAAGGAAUUAUGAACAGUAAAAUGGGGAAGGGCACAAGAGUUCGUGAUCAUGUCCUCAAAAUGAUGGACUAUUUGAAUGAGGCUGAGAUUCAGGGAGCACAAAUCGAUGAUAACUCAAAGAUUGACAUGGUGCUAGAAUCUCUGCCAGAAACAUUCAAGGAGUUUAAGGUCAAUUAUAACAUGAACAAAAGAAAUAUGACCUUAACUGAAUUGAUGAAUGAACUCCAUUCUGCUGAAGAGAUCUAUCGUGCUGAGAAAUCUCUGGGAAGCAUAAAUUUUACUGAAAAAAGUUCAUCUUCUGGGCCUAAACCGAAAGGCAAAGGUAAGAAGAAAGCUGGGAAAAAAAGACCGUCUACCAAGCAAGAUGGCAAGCCGAAAGGCAAAUGCUUCAAGUGUGGACAGAAAGGUCACUGGAAAAAGGAUUGCCCUAAGAUUGUGAAAUCAGGUAUGGGAAAUCUUUUUUGUAAUUGAGGCCUGUUUAGUUCAGAAUCCUAUUGACACUUGGGUGUUGGAUUCAGGAGCAACUAAUCAUAUUUGUAAUUCACUUUAUUGGUUUCAGGAAACCAGGAAAAUAAGUGAAAGAAGCGUCAAGCUGCAGUUAGGGACAGGACAGUUCGUGUCAGCAGUAAAGACUGGAUCUGUUUUAUUAUCUUUUAAUAAUGAGACUUUAGUUUUGAAUAAUUGUCUUUAUGUUCUAGACAUUAAGAGGAAUUUAAUUUCAGUAGCUUGUUUGUCAAAGCAAGGGUACACUGUAAAUUUUGGAUCCUCUGUUUCUAUUUUUCAUAAUAAGAGACUUAUUUGUUCUGGUACAUUGGAAGAUAAUUUAUAUCAUUUAAGUCCAAUGAUCCAUUCUAUGCAUGACACAGUGAUAAAUAAUAAUGAGCAUACACAUUUAUCUAAGAAAAGAAAUAUUUCUUCCAACCAAUGUUACCUCUGGCAUUUAUGCUUGGGUCAUAUAAACCAAAAUAGGAUACAAAGAAUGAUCAAAGAUGGGCUCUUGGGUCCAUUAGAAAAUGAAUCAUUGCCACUCUGUGAAUCCUGUUUAGAAGGGAAAAUGACCAAAAGGCCAUUCUCGGCCAAAGGAGUACGUGCAACAGUACCACUUGAAUUGGUACAUACAGAUGUAUGUGGACCAAUCAAUGUACAAGCUCGAGGAGGUUAUGAGUAUUUCAUCACUUUUACUAAUGAUUACUCAAGAUACGGUUAUGUUUAUCUGAUGCGUCAUAAGUCUGAAGCUCUUGAGAAAUUCAAAGAGUAUAGGGCUGAGACAGAAAAGCAAUUAGAUAAGAACAUAAAGAAACUUCGAUCUGAUCGAGGUGGUGAAUUUCUCUCAGGAGAUUUCAAAGAGUAUCUGGUUGAAAAUGGGAUUAUAUCUCAAUUGACUGCCUCGGGAACACCACAACAAAAUGGGGUAGCUGAAAGAAGAAAUAGAACUCUUUUGGAUAUGGUGAGAUCUAUGCUUAGUUAUUCUUCAUUACCAAUCUCUUUUUGGGGACUAGCACUGGAAACUGCAGUUUACCUUUUGAACUUAGUUCCAUCUAAGUCAGUGCCUAAAACCCCAAUAGAAUUAUGGUCAGGUCGCAAACCAAGUUUACGACAUGUCCGUAUUUGGGGAUCACCAGCACAUGUGCUGAAACCAAAGGCAGACAAAAUGGAUUCACGUUCUGAGGUUUGUAUGUUUGUGGGGUAUCCCAAAGGAACAAGGGGAGGUUUAUUUUAUAGUCCUCAAGAUAGGAAAGUGAUCGUGAGCACACAUUUCACUUCCCUUGAGGAAGACUAUAUGAAUAACUUCAAACCUAAGAGUAAGGUAAUACUUGAAGAGCUGUCAGGUGAUCAGGUUGAUGCUCAGCUUUCAACGCCUGUUACAGAACAGGAAGAACAGCAACAACCAGAUGAUCAACACAGGAUUAACCCUGAACAACCAUCACUUUUAUAACCUCGUCGUAGUGGGAGGGUAACUAGGUUACCUGCGAGAUACAUGUUUUUGGGAGAAAUCUAUACGGCUAUCUCAGAUGAACAUGUACAAGAUCCCACUAGUUACAACGAAGCUCUAAUAGAUAGAGAUGUUGAAUUUUGGAAAAAGGCCAUGAAUCAAGAAAUGGAUUCUAUGUAUUCCAAUAAAGUCUGGGAACUUGUAGAGGCACCAAAUGGGAUAAAACCUAUAGGGUGCAAGUGGAUCUACAAGAGAAAAAGAGGAGUAGACGGAAGGGUGGAAACAUUUAAAGCAAGAUUAGUAGCCAAAGGGUUUACUCAGAAAGAGGGAAUUGAUUAUGAGGAAACUUUUUCUCCGGUUGCUAUGCUUAAAUCCAUCAGGAUUCUGCUCUCCAUUGCUGUAAUGCUAGAUUAUGAAAUUUGGCAAAUGGAUGUCAAGACUGCCUUUCUUAACGGGCAUCUUGAAGAAAACAUCUACAUGCAGCAACCAGAUGGAUUUAUACAAAAAGGCCAAGAACACAUGGUAUGUAAGUUGCAGAAAUCCAUUUAUGGAUUGAAACAAGCAUCCCGGUCAUGGAACAUCAGAUUUGAUCAAGCGAUUAAAUCGUUUGGAUUCAUUCAGAACAUUGAUGAACCAUGUGUGUACAAGAAAAUUCAAGAAAAAUCUGUAGCCUUCCUAAUUUUUUAUGUAGACGAUAUUCUCCUAAUUGGAAACGAUAUAGGAGUAUUGACUACAAUAAAGAGUUGGUUAGCAAAACAAUUUGAUAUGAAAGACCUGGGAGAGGCAAGUUAUAUUCUUGGUAUCAAAUUACUACGAGACCAGAAGAAUAAAACUUUAGCCUUGUCUCAAGCGGUCUAUAUCGAUAAGAUAUUGGCUAGAUUUAGCAUGGAAAAUUCCAAGACUGGUUUAUUACCAUUCAGACAUGGAAUUACAUUCUCUAAGGAUCAAUCACCUAAAACAUCUGAAGAGAUAGAGAGAAUGAGACGAGUUCCCUAUGCAGAAGCUGUGGGAAGUCUUAUGUAUGCCAUGCUUUGCACUAGGCCAGACAUCUGUUUUGCGGUAGGGAUGGUUAGUAGAUAUCAAUCUAAUCCUGGACCUGAACACUGGACUGCGGUCAAGCAUAUAAUGAAGUAUCUGAAAAGAACUAAAAAUUAUAUGCUUGUGUAUUCUGGUGAUGAACUCAUUCCAGUGGGUUAUACUGAUUCUGACUUUAUGUCAGAUAAGGAUUCCAGAAAAUCAACUUCCGGCUAUGUGUUUACAUUGGGAAGUGGAACUAUUAGUUGGAGGAGUGUGAAACAAUCUUGUAUCGCAGACUCCACAACUGAAGCUGAAUAUGUGGCUGCAUCCGAAACUGCAAAAGAAGCUGUAUGGCUCCGCAAGUUCCUACAAGAUCUUGAGGUGGUACCUGCUGUAACUGCACCCCUUAAACUAUUUUGCGAUAAUAGUGGUGCGGUAGCUAAAUCUAAGGAACCACAAGAAACAAAAACAUAUUGAGAGGAAGUAUCAUCUUAUAAGGGAUAUAGUGCAGAGAGGUGAUGUGGAGGUUACUCAGAUUGCGUCACAGCAAAACUUGGCAGAUCCUUUUACUAAGGCCAUACCUGGGAAACCUUUUAACUUGCACUUGGAAUCCAUGGGCAUGCGUGAGAUGCCAAAUAUGCUUUGAGAGCUAGUGGGAGAUUGUUGGGAAAAUAUGCCCUUUAAAAGCAUAUGUGUUUAUUUAAUUGUAAUAAACAAUUUUUCUGAUUAAUAAAAUAAAUGAGGUAUUUUAUUCAAAUAUCUUAAUUGCAUUAAUAUUUGUAUUAAAGUCCAUUUAAUCAUAUUAUAUGUAUUUAUGUGAUCACCAUGUGGAUUCACAGAAGACAUAAAUACAAGUUAUCUUAUGAUUAAAUAAAUUUAGUUCGCAGUUGAUAAAUAAAGUUGGGCACUUUAUUUAGGUAUAGACUGUAAUAAAUUCAUUGAAUGAUUUGUCUUAAUCAUGUAUGAAUUUAUUGAUGUAGUACGACUACAUUAAACAGGAUCACAUGUGAGAUUUAAUUAACUUUGUAAUAACUGUCAGACUUAUUAAAUCUUAUAGGCAUUGAUUUUACUGUAAUCUUAAUCUUGAGUUAAUUAUGAUUUCAUGAUUGUAAUUGUUAUUCCAUUUGAGUUACCAAUGGGCACGACACAUCCUUGUGGUCAAGAUUACCCGGUAUCUUGGUGGGAGCAAUUAUGAGUAUUGGAGUUAUGGAUUAACAAUAUAGAAUUUGUACAACACAUCUCUCGAUAGGUUUUCGGCACUUGAUCAUAGAAUUCUUUGGCCAGAGUGUGUCAACAUAUUUAGUAUGUUGAAAAUGAUCAUUAGAGAAAACCAGUAAGGAUCAAGGAAUAAGAUGUUAUUAAAUUGAUUGGACAGUUGAGAUAUCAAUUUAAUUAACGAUGUGGUACAAAGGAUUGUGCAGUAAAGAAAUCAAUGUGGCUUGGGACGAAUUAUUAUUCGAGCAUACAAUUAUGGAAGUCAGUUCCAAUCUUUUAGUGGAGUAGAUUUGGAAUUAAAUAAUUGGGCUAGUUUAAUUACAGGCCUAAUUAUUGUAGCCACUAUUGUAUGUUCCCAAAUGAUCCCCGGGUUAGCUCAUUUAAUUGACUGCACCACUACUGGACUAAUAAGUAAGAUAACUAGCUAUUUGGGUCAAAAGCCUAAAUAUAUCAUUUAGUGGGAGGCUCCAUUUAAUUAGCUUUUGUAUAAGGGGCCUUAUGUUAUUUUACAAGGUGGGUCCCCUAUUGAAAAAGAAAAUAAUGUGAGUUUUAUUUAGGGCAUUAUUUGGAGCCUAGGGUUUUCACUAAAGAGAGAUAUAUAAGGCUUAUUUUCUCUAAAGAAAAAAGAAAAGCCACUUUAUACAGAUCAGAGAAUAAGAUUUUUCUCUCCAUUGUUGAGAGAAAAAUUUUCUCGUGCUAGUUGCUUUGGUAGUGAUAAAGGCACCCACACGUCAAGUGCAGAUCAAACCUGAGUCAUAACCUGGAAGAUCAUUGGUGACAGUUCAUGAUCUAACAAGCGUGGUGGUGACGGUUCGUGAUCUAACAAGCGUGGUGGUGACGGAUCGUGAUCUAACAAGAGUGGUGGUGGCGGAUCGUGAUCUAGGAGCCUAAAUCACUUCAGCGAAAAAAGCCAACUCGGAUUUUCAAGGUACGAUUUCUAGAAUACGAAUUCUUAUAUAUUAUAUGAGAGCGAUCUUCAAAACGUUUUAUAAAAAUUUAAAAACCGAAUUUUUUCACCAACACUAUGUAGCUAGAUGGCAUUUCUAGUGUUUCAAGGUUUAAAAGGGUGCAUAGCAGUGAAGGAAGGCAUUUGACCGAAGGGAUAUUCAAUUUCAAAUACUUCAAAAGAUAUAAAUUUUCUAAUCCGGGCGGAUAUUGGUCCAGGACUGCAAAACCCAAAUUCAAUACCUGAAGGUGUUUGAACUUUUUACAAAAAUUCUCGCAAUCUAUCAGAGCGAGACGAUCGCUUUCUGAACUGUGAUUCAGAAAAGAUUGGAGACGCAUGUCAGAAUAUUCUAAAGGAAAGAAGUCAAUCAGGCGUUCCACAAUGAAGCACCGUUUAACAUUUGCCACUGAUUCUUCUUCCAUUUCAGGCGUCAAGACAAAUCCCGUCUUCUUUGCCACAAAAUACAAUGAAGUAAAUUCAAGACUUGGAACAUAACACGCUUUAAUUGUGCCGCCGGCGCUUCUCUUACUCACUUGAAUGAAGCCGCGAUGGAUUAGUUCUUUCAAGUAAUGUUCGGCAGUUUCUUCAUCGUUGUAUGGUAUGAAACCUUCAGCUACCCACAACUGAUAUAAUUGCCUCGUGGACAUCUCAAUACUUGGAGGGAAGACACACAAAUAGAUGCAGCAGACUUUCAAGUGAAAAGGUAACUCCAUCACAGAAAAAAUUUAUCUCCAAACUGUCGGAAUCGCUUCGCCUUGAACAUAAUUUUCUAAUGGCAUACUUCCAUAGUGUAGGAUGAAAAAUUGCCAGGCUUCAUGCUUUAAUCUGAUCAAUGGUCCUCCAAAGAGCACUGAAUCACGCCGAAUCUUCUCUCCAUUUUCCAUUUCCAACGACGCAAGGAGGUGUGGAUCACUGACCAACAUCAAUACUCUGCUUCCAUUCUGAUUAUCAGGAAGAACUUUUUCAAGAUCACUCCAUAUCUUACUGUCAUCGAAGACAUCAUCAAGCACAAUAAAGUACUUCUUGUUUGUUAGGUAAUCUCGAAGAAUAGAUUUCUUCAAUUGAUAAUCUUCCCCGAUAAUUACACUAACCCGAGCUGGAGGCAUCACAGACUUGAUUAUGCCAUCCAAUAUCUUGCCAAAAUCGUAGGUUAUCGAAACCCUGACCCAAGCAAGACAGUCAAAAUAGAACUUGACGUGAUCAUUAUUGUAAGUAUCUGCAGCAAAAGCAGUCUUAUCGAAGCCACUGCUGUCGAGAAUUGCAACCACUGCAAGCCCAGAUGGUCCCUCAAUCAAUAGAUCAAACAACUCCUCCCUGCCCCUUUGAAAUUCAUUGAUAUCGAGCCGAGGUUGUCCCUCAUUCAAUAGGCGAAUGAUUUCGUUACUUUUCUCACUGAUAUCAAAACCAUUGUCGCCGGGUGGAAGUUGUUGCAUCCGAUUUCUAAUAUCAAUGAUUUUAGUGUGGAGUCCAACAAGAAGAGCCAUAUCAGUACUGCUUUCACUUUCGUUUUCACUGUUUUGCUGCUGCAUGAUGUUGAUGAAGAAUCUGUCAAUGGCUUCCUCAGAUUCAUGGACAAAGUCAUUGAUGUCCUCCAGAAUUUCCAAAAUAUCUGCUCUUUCAACAUCUUCUUCAUCGCUUUCUUCUAAGUCCAACAGUUCAUCGAAAUCUUCUCUAAGGAGUUGAAACAAAUGCCGAGCCAUGUCAACUUCAUAUUUUCCCAGCAGAGUAGUAGCAAUAAUUUCGGACUCCGUAAGAAGGUUUUGAAAAAGUGGAGUUAAAUUUGUUGAAUCUGGCAGCGGCAACGUGCCUUCUUCACCUGCUAACACCCUUUUCAACCUCUCACGAAAUAGUCGGAGGUGGACGUCCAGCAUAUCUCCUUCUCUCUGUAUCACCCAGAGGUAUAGUUGAAAGAUUAAACACCAUGGAAGAAUUUGAAAGGAAAAUGCCAAGAAACUGUGUAAGUGGCUAAACCAUGAAAAAUUGAUCAUUUUUUUGCAUUGUAAGUUGCGCGUUCAUUUAGAGAAAAGUCCAAGACGCGUGCCUUUUGCAAAGAACAGGUAUCCCAAUCGGUAUCCAACCUUUAUCUUAUUUAAUUACUACCAUGACAUAAUUGAUGGUGCUUAAAUCAAUUGUUUCUUUUUUAAUUUAAAGAAUUUUUCAUUAAAAAAAUAUUUUAAUAUCAAAUUGCCUUCAGUGGCGUAACAACUGCCUCAAGCCCAGUAACAGGACUAAUUAAAAAUUUUACAAUUUUGGGGCAUGGAAAUAGUAGUAUUAAACAUUAGAAAGGUAAGGUUGUUCUGUUAAAGAAUUGAUAUUGACAUAAUUUUAUUUUGGUUUUCGUGGAAAAAAAAAAUUUGUUGACAAGCAAGAAAAUAUUUUAUCAUAUAAAAGUAAUUUUAAAAAUAAAUAGAAACAUAAUAUUACAAUAAAUAAAUUAAAGUUUAAAUUAUUUGGAAUAUUAUAAAAAAUAAUGUUAAUAUUAUUAAUAGGAAGACAUUUUGUUAAUUUUAAAAUCUUUUUAAUCCAAAGGUUUAUUUAAAAUCUCUAUAAUAAAUACAAAUAUAAGAUUAAAAUAAAAAUCAUAAUUUGAAAUUUUUAAUAUUAUUUUAAAUGUUAAAUAUACUUUAAUGUUAUUAGCCUACUACGUAGAUUUUAUUAUUUAUAUUAUAUUCGUAUUGAUUAAAAUUUUUUAAAGUCAAUUUUUUAGUUAGUACAUUCAAGAGGUAUUAUAGUUAAAGAAAAGAUUUUGGUGCAACUGUUUUAAAAUUUCAGCGUCUAAAUGAUAAUUUUUUUAAAAUUUAAGGAAGUAGGUAUUAUUUUUCCAACAAUUAUUUUACUUUUGAGGGAAAUCCGAUAAGAAAUAUCAUCAAAGAACAUUAAUUUAACAUUCUUUACCUUUAUGAAAAAAGUGAAAACCAAGAACUAUUCAAUUUUGUAUUUUUUGUUUGUAAUUCAAAAAAUGCAUCCACCAAACAUGCUUAUCUUGAUUUUCCCACUUUAUUCAUUUUCGAUGCUUUUCAAAAGAGGUUCCUUUACUGGUCAUUGUCUACACUAUCAAACAAGUUGAUGGAAAUUGAACCCAUUAAGUUAUGUUCAUUACUGGUCAUUGUCUUUCUAUGAGCCACUUAUUUGGAGCAUUAGCGAUCUUAUAAGGAAUCAUGCCUUUUCAGGAUCGUUUUCUUUCAUUUCCCUAUUGUAGUAGUUAAUUAAAUAAAGAACGAACAGCUGAACUUGGUCUAUUUCGAGGAAGACCAAGGCUUCCAAUACUAGAGGAACUUUGAAGAAAAUUAAUUGGAAACCUUUAUUCAUCUUUGAAGAAAAUUACGUGCCAAUGUAACGAAGGCUUUUAUUCAUCUUCGGACUAUGAAUUUGUACAAAAACAUUAACAGAAAAUAAUAAAGACACAGCUAAAUGAUAGCAGCAAGUGCUGAUUUAGUGAACCACUUCUACAAGUAAAUAAAAACUAAAUAUUUAUUUUGACUAUAACAACAACUACCCUCUUGAAUAGGACUCUACAGCAGCCACAUGACAACUAAUUUCUCCAUAAUAUUAUUAUUAGUAGAAGUAGAUUUUCAAAAUUGUCUUGAUAUAUUUCAAAGUUGUAUUAUCAGCGUAUAUGUAUCUAGAUUGUAACUAUAUUUUAAAAAAUAUAAAAAUUUUAAUUAUUGCACAGUAAUGUAGAACAAUAUCUACAAAAUAAUAUUGUUAGGACUAAGAAAAAAUAUUAUUUUAGAUAAGUUAUUUAUUUAUUAUUGAAUGAAAAAUUUAUCAUGAUAAAUGAAUAUUUAUUAAUUUAAAGAGAGAUUUUUUUUGGUUUUAAGAAGAGUUUGUUUGGUACAUGCACACACUAAUAAAGAAACACAAAAAGUGCUUCCUCAAGUCAAUAGUAUUUGCUUUAAUUGCUAAGGUGCAUAAUAACGUAGCUUAGUUAGGAAAUUUGUAAUUAUAUUAUGGCUCCGUUUGGUAUAAUUUUUUAACUAGAACUUAUUUAAGGAGGGCUUUUAUUAGUAGAGUUUUUAUAAAUAGAGAUUUAACAAAAAAAAUUAUAGUUAUUUAGUUGUCAAUGUACAAAUUGAUGAAUUAUUGUUCUUUUUGUUAACAUGUGUUUGUUUUACUUAAUAAUAAAAGUUUAGUUUACAACAUUGAAGUUCAGCAGAGCAUUUUUGCAGCCAGUCACAUUAUACAUUAUACUAAUAGCAUCGGCAAGAGUUUUCGAUUGUUGCAACUUGCAAUGCACACGAUGCGAGAAAAUGAGAAUCUUGUUUAAUUGCAAUAUUGACAAACCUAAUCCUUUCGUAGGGAGUAAUUUAAUAAUCGUUCGUUAGUUGAAGCGUUAAUUUAAUAAGCGUUGAUUUCCCUUCGAUAACUCGAAGUCCACGACGAUUCUUCUUCUUCUCUGCUGCUCAUUACGCUUCUACCCAAACCCUAGGAUUCAAACCUUUGCUUAGGAGAGAAUCAAAGCGAUUGGUGUUGGAGGUGAUUGAGGCUCUUAGAAGCUUAGAGGUGUGUUAAUUCAAAUUCUUUUGUCGAGAUAAGUAAUUUCAUUCCUAAUAUACUGGAUAUGUAUAAGUAUUUUGAUGUUAUUAUAAGAGUUUUUAUACUUCUUAGAAGAUUAAUAGAUUUUCAUACCAAAAUUAGUUUAUGAAAAUGUUUUCAAAUCUGAAUUCUUUUGAUAAAAUAUUUUACAAAUGCGUUUUAAUAUGUAAAUUAUUUUAUGACAUGACUGCCUUUUAUGAUUUUGUCUAUGAAAUAUUUUUGCAAGCCUAAAUUGUUGCUAUAGACUUUCAUGAAUCUAAUAUGAAUGUUUUGUGCCUAUGUAUGAUUUUAAUUAUUUAUGACUGUACGGGGGCCACCUCUUGAGAUUAUAUGGGGGCCACCUCUUGAGGGCCAAAGCGCCGCAAAGUGCCACAUAGAGUGCAAAGUGCCAUGUAUAAGUCAUUAUGUUUUGGCUCAUUGUCCGUAGUUAUUCUGAUUCUAAUUCUGAUCGUAUUAUACGAUAUAUUUGUUCUGGACUAGUACUAGGUUUAUGUUCUAAGUGUGCACACGAUAUUCUGAUUCUGUUUCUGGUCAGGUCACCGAGACUAUAGGUGAUACUAUGUGACAUGAGCUAACUAUCUGCUUUCUGUGUACACUUUAUACGAUUUGCUUUCAUAAUUGAUUAUUCUUUUGAUACUCUGAAUUACCAUGAAUUUAUGUUAUAUAAUUGAAAUAUGUUGUUUUAUGAAGUUUAUGACUUAUAAUAUAUGUUUUUGAAUAAAAGAAGGCUUGCAAUAUUUUUGAUAUCGAUAGGCCUAGUGUAUUAGGAAUGAUUUUACCUACCGAGUUGACAGCCCACCCCUCGUUAUUACUUUUUGCAGAUUAAGUUCCUUUUAAGAGGUAUGCGUAGCUUUGGAGUUAGAGAUUUCGUUUCCGUUUGCUAUUUGAAUAAGAAGAGGAAUAGACUCAUGUUUCUUUUUAGUUUAUUUCUGUUAUGAGCUUGUAAUUUGGAGUUUGAGACUUUUGUUAUUGUUAUGUUUUGGAAGAGAUUAUUUAGUGUUAGACGUAUUAAUUUGCGGAUUUAUUUGAAUAAGAAUUUGAGGUAUUUGAGCUUGGAAUUUAUAAGUAAGGAUUACGAUUUGUAAGUAACCUCAUUCUUCAUGUGCUCCGCACGUGUUAGAUUUGGGGUGUUAUAUGUUUCGUAUAACUUUUCAAGUAGAGCUUAUUUAAAUAGAAUAUUCGUCAAUAAAGCUUCUAUAAAUAUAGAUUUUACUAAAAAAAAUUUAGUUGUUUGGUUGUCAAUGUCCAAAUUGACGAACUUUUGUUCCUUUGCUAACAUGUAUUUGUUUUACUUAAUAAUAGAAGUUUAGCUUACAAUUACACCGGCGUCAAAUCAACAGAGCAUUUUGGCAGCCAGUCACAUUAUACAUUAUACUAAUAGCAUCGGCAAGAGUUUUCGGUUGUUGCAACUUGCAAUGCACGCGAUGAGAGAAAAUGAGAAUCUUUUCUAAUUGCAAUAAUGACAAACCUAAUCCUUUCGUUGGGAGUAAUUUAAUAAUCGUUUGUUAUAAUUGAAUAUGUAUAAAGAAAGGAAAAUUCUAUUCAUAGAUUUCGACUUAUUUUUUGUUUAAAGUAAUUAAUCAUUCAACCAUCUUCAUUUGCCUCUGGCCAGUGCCCUUGUAGAUUAGUUGAAGCGUUAAUUAAUUCAGAUAAUUACAACGUCCUUUUCGCUAAUUAAUUAUGAUUAUAUAUGUUUCAUAUAGCAAGUGGCUUUGUAGAUCUAAACCAAGUUGCUAUUUCAAAACGUUAAUUAAGUGAUUCUCCUCAUUGUCAUCAGCGUUAUACGCUCUAGGAAAAUAGCUCAAUUGUUUCCCUGCAUUGACUUUCAUUGGUAAGUGAUUUCUUAUGAAAUUCUUUUGAGCUUUCCUUAUUAAAAAAGCUUGAGCUUUUAUCACCUAAUGCGGAUAUCAAUUAACUUGUGAAUGAUUUUGCAAUGAAACUAGGAGUUAAAUAAGAUUUUUACAUGAUGAAUUUUUAUUUUUUUAAUUUUUUGAUGUAGUCAAUUUGCUAAUUUUAUGUAUUUCAUAUUCAACGGAAUUUGGGCACGGAAAGUUUGGAUUCUAAUAUUUAUAUGUUUAGCUUUAAUCAGUUUGACUUUCGUAAUCUUUUUCCCCUCAUCAUUAAGGGAUUCAGAAUUAGAGAAACGUUAGGAAGAGGAAGAAAAUAAUUUCGGAAAUAAGUAAGAGGGAAAAAAUUAUUAAAUUAGGAAUGAUUUUUUGUAGAGUAUGUUCCGUUUACUAAACUGAAAUCGAAAUGAGCUGGAAUCAGAAUGGAUAGAAAUGCGAAUGCGCUGGAAUGAGAAUAAGUAAUGAGAAUCAGAAUAAGUUGUUUACUUGAAUUGUAAGAAUCGAAAUCGAAAUGAGCUGGAUUGCAAUUACUUUGUCCUACAAUUAGAAUCGGAAUGAGUUAGAUUGUAACAAAUUACUAAAAGGUACUUAAUGAAUUAUUGUCAUAAUAUUAUUUUAUAUUUUAAUUAUAGUGAUUAUUUAUUCUAAAAUUAUUAUUAUUAAUUAUUUUCAAUAAUAUGUUAAUAUGUUAAUUAAUUUUAAAAAUUAUUAAUUAAUUUAUUAUAAUAAUAUACUAAUUAAUUAUAAUAAUUAUUAUAAAAAUAUAUUAAUUAUUAAUAAUGAAAUUACUUAUUUAAUUAUAAUAAUAUAUUAAUUAUUGUGAUUAUUUAUUCAAAAAUUAUAAUUAUUAAUAAUUAUUGUUAAUAAUGUAUCAAUAUAUUUUAUAUUAUGAAAUUGUGAUGUAUUGUAGACAAAUAAGGAAUUUGGUACAAUAAAUUCUUAAUAUCUUAGUACAAAGUAUGGUAAAAUGGUAUUUUAACUUAUUGUAGACAGAUUAAAUUUCGACACACUUAAUCCAUGAUAAAAUUAAUGGAAAAUAAUGAUAAUUUAUACAAUUAAUCUUUUGAGCAAUAAAAAAAUAAAAGAAAAAGAAGUUACUAAAUUAUGUUUACUGCUAAGAGUGAAUCCACAAUCCUAAAUAAUUAUUUCCAUCGUUUCACUUAAAUUAAAUAGUGUGAAUUUAAAUUCUAAUUUUUUGAUAAAUUAAAAAGAAAUAAAAAAUUAAAAUUUUUCUCUAUGGAUCGACCUCGGAUUGAUCAAUUUAUUUCAUAACAACACACUUUUAUACUUGAGAGUUAUAAAUCACUUUGAAGUUGUGUUAAGUUUUUGACGCUCUUACGGGGAAAAAAUAUUUAUUUUAUUUUAUGUAUGGGUCAAACUUGAAAGUAUAUUUUAAGAUAACUGCUAAUAUGCUCUAUUAGACAAUGAUAACCUAGUUGUUUGUGGUGUUCAUAAUGAGUUUAAUUAUGAUUAAACAAUUUAAAAUAUGAAAAAAUAUGGAAGAUGGCCGUAAUUAAAUUGAUUGCAUGAAAAUAUUUCAAUGAAAUUUUAAAAAUUUGGUACUUAUUAUCUUAUCAAAAGAUUUUUAAAUUAUAUUACUACUUCAACUUAACUCCUCCUGGAUUGAUUGUAUUGAAUUUCCAGCACUGCCAUUGCUUCUACUUGAAAGCCAUUUAAGUUUGUGUAAGCUACCUAUAGUUUGAAUAACAAUUUACUCAUGAAUUGCCGUUCAUGAUAACAAUUUGAUUGAAAGUGCGGCUCCACUAAUUGUCUAGAUGAUUUUUUCCCACAUGUUUGUUCUCGUACGACCCCAGAAUGCUGUUAUAUCAGUUGUAUUGGAAAUUAAUCAACUGGUUACAACUCUACACCCCAUCAAUAUUUAAGCAGUCUACAGAACAUUAAUUGUGUUUUGAAAUUUUAAUGAGUCUCACGUGUUUUUCACGUGAUAUGCAGUAAAAACAAAAUUAAAAAAAUGUGAACAUUCAGCCCCAAAAUCCCCAACUCCUUCCAAAUUGGUUCCGCAGCCCCCAAAUCCCUUAAACCCAAAUCACUCUAAAAAGACUCUCCUCAGCCAAAAAGAAAAAGGUCACCUCACCUCUCCUCUUCUUCUUCCAUGGCGAUCAACGGCGGCACAAGCACGGGCUGAUCUCCUUCGUCGGUAACGAUCAACGGCGGUACAAGCAUGGGCAGAUCUUUUUUUGGCAAUGAUCAACAGCGGCACAAGCACAGUCGUCCUCAGGUACGGAUUUGAUGUUGGUUGUGUUGUCAAGUAGCGAUUCAUGUUUGGAAGAGAAUCCGCUCGCAAGGACCUGGAGCACUUAAUCGAAGAUCUUAAGCGAGGAAUUCGCUUCCUCCUCAUUCCUAAUCGGUGCCUGGUUCAUCAGUAUGAUUAAGGAUGAAAAUUGAGAAAGAAGGACGCAUUAGGUUUGAGACAUUGGUUGAAAAGCGCUACCCCGGUGGCCACGCUGGAAACAUAUGUUCCGUGGCUUCUUGCGUUGUCUGUGAGGAAUAUGUACUGCUGUAGAAGAUAAUUAUGAAUCAAUGGUAAUUGGCGUGUUGGUUUUGGUGCCGAUUUCCUCUUAUUUUCCAGAAAAGGCUUGUAAUUUGUUCACCUCAAGAUUCAAUUUGUUAUUGAAAAUGGAUGGCUGUAAAGACCUACUGGCCUUUCAUUAUAUUAAUGUUUUUGACAGUAAGUUUGUAAUAGUUAGUGCAGGGAACUUAUUGAUUCUUGAUUAUAUAUAACGGUGGCCCUUAUUACUUUAAAAAAAAAAAAAAAAUUGAUGAUGGGUUUCGUUUUGUAUAAGUGUUUGGAGUGUUGGAAAAUGAACAUUGUAUAUUUUAGAUAGUUGAGUUCCAUAGUAGUGAAAAGCUACGGAUUUGUUUUCUUUGUAUUGAAAUGUGUUUUGACCAUUAUAUGUUGUUUGAUUGGUGAUAGUUUUAUGUUUGUCAGUUCCAGUAGUCUCUUAAUCGCCAUCUGGCAUGGAAACUCACUGUGAAUAUGUGAAGAAUGCAGUGAUCAUAAGGAGUAAAUGAACGAUCAAACAUGCUAAAAUUAAAUACCAAAAAAUAAAAUAAAAUAAAAUAAAAUUGGAACUGGAAGAGUAAAUAGCAAAAGAUUGGGCGAAAAUUGAAUACCAUAACAAAAAAAAAAUUAAAAUAAAUUCAAACGACAAGAGCUAAUUAAGAGCAAAAAGAUGCUUGACUUACCAAGAGCAAGGACCAAGCAAAUGGUUUUACAUUCGGGCUUGAUGGUGAACUGGUUGGAGAUGGGUACGAAUGUGAUCUCGUUGAGAUUUGGAGAAGAGAACGGGGGAAUGGCCACAAUAUCUUUGUUACUUUUUUUUUUAAACUUUAUUUUACUGUUGAUCACAUGAAAAUCACGUGCAAGUCAUUAAAAUUUCUAAACACAGUUACUGCUGUCGUUUCGAUGUUCUCGGGCUAUCACAUGCUCGGUACGUCUAUCACUACUCGUCAAAAAAAAUGACACGCGUUCAUUUCCAAGACGCGUGCCUUACUACCAUGACAUGAUUGAUGGCGCUUAAAUCAAUUGGUUUUUUUUUUUAAUUUAAAGAAUUUUUCAUUAAAAAAAUAUUUUAAUAUCAAAUUGCCUUCAAUGGCAUAACUGCCACAAGCCCAGUAACAGGACUAAGGGUACGUUUGAGAUUGAGGUUGGGCAGCUGUACCUUUUAAGCUACAACACUAAAGUGCUUGGUAAACACUAGCUGCUCUAGGUUGGAAGCUAUAUUAAUAUGAUUUUUCACUUGUAUAAUAGAAAAUAUAUUAUAUCUUUAAUAAUUUUGUCAAAUUUAUAUUUACUACAUAUUAUUAAUUUUUGUUUUAUAGUCACAGCUUUUUUUCCACAGCACCUGUAGCUUAAAAGAUACAGCACCUCAAUCCCAAACGCAUCCUAAUUAAAAAUUUUAGAAUUUUUGGGCAUGGAAUUGAAAAGAGUAGUAUUAAACAUCAGAAAGCUAAGGUUGUUCUGUUAAAGAAUUGAUAUUGACAUAAUUUUAUUUUGGUUUUUGGGGAAAAAAAAUUUGUUGACAAGCAAGAAAAUAUUUUUAUAUUUUACAAUUUAUUAUACAUAUUUUAUCGUAUUAAAGUAAUUUUAAUAAUAAAUAGAAGCAUAAUAUUAAAUAAAGUUUAAAUUAUUUUGAAUAUUAUAAAAAAUAAUUUUAAUAUUAUUAAUAGGAAGAUAUUUUGUUAAUUUUAAAAUCUUUUUAACCCAAAGGUUUAUUUAAAAUGUUUAUUAUAAAUAAAAAUAUAAAAUUAAAUAUCAUAAUUUAAAAUUUUUAAUAUUAUUUUAAGUAUUAAAAAUAUUUUAAUGUUAUUAGUCUGCUACAUAGAUCAUAUUACUUAUAUUAUAUUUGUAAUGACUAAAAAUUUUUAAAAUCAAAUUUUUUAGUUACUAUAUUUACGAGAUAUUAUGGUUAAAGAAAAGACCUUGGUGUUACUUUUUACAAAUUUGAGUGUCUGCAUGAUAAUUUUAUCAAAAUUUAAGAAUGUAUGUGUCCUUUUCUCCAAUAAUUUAUUUCACUUUUGAGGGGAAUCCAAUGAGAAAUAUGAUAAGAGAAUGUCAAUUAUUUGUCAUUUUCUAUUUUUUCUGUAAGCUAUUCAUUUUGAGCAUUAGUGAUCUUGUCUGGACUACUCCAAUUAUUGAUGUAACUCCAGUGGCUGCAUCCACAGUUGAAUAUAUGAUAGUGUUAGCUCUUAUUUGAGAAUUCAGAGGGAUCUUCUAUGUUUAUCAAUUGCAAUGUGCUAGUAUAAAUUUCUUUACCUCACAGUUUAUAUAGUCUUGCUGUUAAAGAACUCACUGAGGCAUUAUUGACUCAAUUUCAGUGGAGCAAUCGCGCGUAGUGGAUAAAUAAAGGAUAACAGAACAGAGCUGAAGUGCUAAAUUGGCUAUUAAAGAAGGGUGUCACAUGAUCACAAUCACAUUGGUGCACAACUAGAGUUAGGCAAAUUUUGUCUAUAUGUACUCUAAAUUCAGACAAACCAUACAUGCAUGAACAAAAAUUAAACCGUCGUUCUAAUCACAACAGUAAUUGAAGCUACAAAAGCCAGCAAAUCUGAACAAAGACUUAAAAGAAAGAUCUUAUUCAAGUUGUCCCCAAAAGACAGCUGAAAUGAAUAAUAUUGACUAUUGAUUGGGUCAAUGCUGAAUUACAUUUCAAUAGGAAAGCUUGGCAGCAGUUACAAUGUUUCCCCCUCUGAUUUUCGUCCAAAACAAAUUCAGUUGUAAACAACAAUCGAAGUAGAAAUAAUUUAUUCAUCAAAGAAAAUACCCAAGUUUUCAACAAACAAAUCUUCUUGUCUAAACUAAAAAAACUCAUCUCUAAAAUCUAUCUGCAAAAUAUUGGAAAUGAGGAGUGAUCCGUCAACUCCAUAAAUAAACUCAUGCAUAAUGUUAACAAUAAUGAUAAAUUACAUAAUAAUUAUUAUAAAGAAUCAUAAAUUGGAAACACUAAUCAUUCUACAAUCUAUUAUAUAAGUAAGAUAAAUCUCAUAAUAAGUUAAGUUAUAAUGUAAUAAAUAUUUUCAAUAUAUAAUUAUUUAAGAAGUCAUUUAACAAUAAAAUAUUUUUUUUAUUCAAUUGAUCAUAUAGCGUUAUCUAAACUCAUGACGAAAUUAUUAUUACUCACUUUUCUAAAAAAAACAUGAUUAACUUUUAGAGAAAAGUCAUGCCUUUUAGAAAGAAUAUUACCGUGACAAAAUUGAUGGUGAUUAAUUCUAUUUUUAAAAUAGAUUUAAUGCACAAAUAUGGUGACUUUUGGCAAAAAUUAGUUUCGGAAGAUAUAGUGGUAGAAAAUAGUGAUGAUUAUUGUUUAAAUGUGUAAAUAGCCGAAGCAUAGCCCGUGAUACCAAUAUCCAUUUGCACCUUCAUUUGGAUUAUCACAUUUCAUGAUAUUCUUUCGUUCAUGACCAUUGUUCAAGAUUUGAAUUUGAAUACAAAUUAAGCUGCAAGGGAGCUUACUUCGGUUUCUAAGCUUUUCAAUUGUGAUUCCUGCAUGCCUUGCUCUGAUACUAUUUUGUUACUUGCCAAUGUAACCAACCUUGUAAUUGGUCUGUAUAAGAAAUCAAGCCCUUUCAGGAUUGUUUUCUUUUGUUUCUCUAUUGUAGUAGUCAACUAAAUAAAGAAUGAACAACUGAACUUGAUCUAUUUUGAUGAAGACCAAGACCUCCAAUACUAAAUGAACUUUGAAGAAGAUUAAUCUACUGCUUUUAUUCAUCUUUGGACUAUGAAUUUAUACAAAGACUUUAACAGAAAAUAACAAAGACAUAGCUAAAUGAUAGCAACAAGUGCUGACUUAGUGGACCACUUCUACAAGUAAAAAAAGACUAAAUAUUUAUUUUGACUAUAACAACAACUACCCUGAUGAACAGGACUCCACAUCAGCCACGUGACAACUAAUUUCUCCUUAAUAUUAUUAUUAGUAGAAGUAGAUUUUCAAACUAGUCUUGAUAUAUUUCAAAGUUGUAUUAACAAUGUAUAUGUAUCUAGAUUGUAACUAUAUUUUUAAAAAAUAAAAUAUUUUAAUUAUUGCACAGUAAAUGUAGAAGAAUAUCUGUAAAAUAAUAUUAUUAGGACUAAAAAAAUAUUAUUUUAGAUAAGUUAUUUAUUUAUUAUUGAAUUGAUAAUUUAUUAAUUUAUUUCUAAAUGAUAUUUAUUAAUUUAAAGAGAGACUUUUUUGGUUUUAUGAAGAGUUUGUUUGGUACAUGUUUACACUUAUAAAGAAACACAAAAAGUGCUUCCUCAAGUCAAUGGUAUUUGCUUUAAUGGCUACGGUUCAUAAUAAUAUAGCUUAGUAAGGAAAUUUGUAAUUAUAAUAUGACUCUUUUAGUACAACUUUUCAAGUAGAAUUUAUUUAAGUAGAGAUUUUGUUAGGAGAAGUAUUGUUAAUAGAGAUUUCACAAAAAAAAUUUUAAUUAUUUGAUUAUAAUAUCCAAAUUGAUGAACUUUUGUUCUUUUGUUAACAUCUGUUUGUUUUACUUAAUAAUAAAACUUUAGUGGGUUUGGCUACAAAUAAAAGUUUAGUGGGUUUGGCUACAAUGCCGUUGGCAUUGUUCCCGGCACCAUGCCGGGCUCUAAAAAAGAGAGCCCGGCUGUCUUUGGCUGCCAUUUGGCAGCCAAAGACUUGGUGCAGCCGGUUAACAAACCGGUUGCACCAUAUUUUUUAAAAAAUAUAUAUUAAAAAUAGAAUAUAAAAAUGAAAAAAAUUAAAUAAAAUGUCAAAAAUAAUUUUUAUAAUAUAAUUAAUAGCAAAAGAUAAAGAAAUUAAAUUAUAUAAUACAAACCCUAUAGUACAAUAUGAUAUAAUUAAAUAAAAUGGCAAAAAAUAAAGAAAUUGAAAAUGAAAAAAAUUGUAUUUCAGUUUUAACGUUAGUUAUUGCAUGUCCGACGUCCCGAUUUCAUGUUUGACAUAAGAAGUUGCAUGUUUUGGAUAAAACCAAAAUAAAGAAUAUUCUGGAAUAUUCUCGUCUGUUUCAUGUUUGACGUCAAAGUUGCGAACUUUACGUGGUAAGUUGCAUAUUUCGCGUGAAGUAUUGCGAGUUUCAUAUUUAACAUCAGUUGUUGCAUUUUUUACGGUUGGAUUUCAUGUUUGACGUACGAUGUUGCAUGUUUUGAAUAAAGCCAAAAUAAAGAAUAUUCCGGAAUAUUCUCGUCCGUUUCAUGUUUGACGUUGAAGUUGAGAACUUUACGUGGUAAGUUGCAUAUUUCGCGUGAAGUAUUGCAAGUUUCAUAUUUAACGUCAGUUGUUGCAUGUCGAACGUCACGGUUGCAUGUUUGACGUAAGCUGAUGCAUGUCUUGAAUAAAGCCAAAAUAAAGAAUAUUCUCGAAUAUUCUCGUCUGUUUCAUGUUUGACGUUGAAGUUGCGAACUUUACGUGGUAAGUUGCAUAUUUCGCGUGAAGUUUUGCAAGUUUCAUGUUUAACGUCGGUCGUUGCAUGUCGGACGUCACGGUUGCAUGUUUGACGUAAGCUGAUGCAUGUCUUGAAUAAAGCCAAAAUAAAAAAUAUUCUCGAAUAUUCUCGUCUGUUUCAUGUUUGACGUCGAAGUUGCGAACUUUACGUGGUAAGUUGCAUAUUUCGCGUGAAGUUUUGCAAGUUUCAUAUUUAAUGUCAGUUCUUGCAUGUCCGACGUCCCGAUUUCAUGUUUGACAUAUGAAGUUGCAUGUUUUGGAUAAAACCAAAAUAAAGAAUAUUCCAGAAUAUUCUCGUCCGUUUCAUGUUUGACGUCGAAGUUGCGAACUUUACGUGGUAAGUUGCAUAUUUCGCGUGAAGUUUUGCAAGUUUCAUAUUUAACGUCAGUUGUUGCAUUUUUUACGGUUGGAUUUCAUGUUUGAUGUACGAUGUUGCAUGUUUUGAAUAAAGCCAAAAUAAAGAAUAUUCUCGAAUAUUGACGUUGAAGCUGCGAACUUUACGUGGUAAGUUGCAUAUUUCGCGUGAAGUAUUGCAAGUUUCAUAUUUAACGUCAGUUGUUGCAUUUUUUACGGUUGGAUUUCAUGUUUGACGUACGAUGUUGCAUGUUUUGAAUAAAGCCAAAAUAAAGAAUAUUCCGGAAUAUUCUCGUCCGUUUCAUGUUUGACGUUGAAGUUGCGAACUUUACGUGGUAAGUUGCAUAUUUCGCGUGAAGUAUUGCAAGUUUCAUGUUUAACAUCCGUCGUUGCAUGUCGGACGUCACGGUUGCAUGUUUGACGUAAGCUGAUGCAUGUCUUGAAUAAAGCCAAAAUAAAGAAUAUUCUCGAAUAUUCUCGUCCGUUUCAUGUUUGACGUCGAAGUUGCGAACUUUACGUGGUAAGUUGCAUAUUUCGCGUGAAGUUUUGUAAGUUUCAUGUUUAACGUCCGUCGUUGCAUGUCGGACAUCACGGUUGAAUGUUUGACGUAAGCUGAUGCAUGUCUUGAAUAAAGCCAAAAUAAAGAAUAUUCUCGAAUAUUCUCGUCCGUUUCAUAUUUGACGUUGAAGUUGCAAACUUUACGUGAUAAGUUGCAUAUUUCACAUGUAGUGUUGUAGGUUGCAUGUUUAACGUUCGUUGUUGCAUGUCCGACGUCCCGAUUGCAUGUUUAACGUAAGAUGUUGCAUGUUUUGAAUAAAGCCAAAAUUAAGAAUAUUUCAGAAUAUUCUCGUCUGUUUCAUGUUUGACGUCGAAAUUGCGAACUUUACGUCAUGAGUUUUAUAUUUCGCGUAAAGCGUUGCAGGUUGUAUGUUUAACGUUAGUUAUUGCAUGUCCGACGUCCCGAUUUCAUGUUUGACGUCGAAGUUGCGAACUUUACGUGAUAAGUUGUAUAUUCUACGUGAAGUGUUAAAUGAAUUUUGUUUUAAAAAUACAGUUUAACCUCAAAACUGUAUGAAACUAUGUUAUGAUCCAAAACGUUAUAAAAAUUUUCAAAUUGGUCCAAUUUUAGAAUUUCUAAUUAUUACUUUAUUAAACUCAAAACUUUCUGAAAUUAAGAUAUGAUCCAAAAUAUAAGAAAUUAUAGAAUGACCCAAAACAUUUAAAUAUUUUGAAAUAGGUCCAAAUCCGAAAUUUAAAACAAUAAUUUAUUAAAAUCAAAGAUUAUGAAAAACAACUUAACUCCAUAAAGACAUAUUCUUAUUGUUAAAGCACAAUACAUAAAUCUUUAUUUAAUCAACACAUGUGGUUUGUUAUCGAAAUCUCAAUACAACACAUUAGUCCAAAAUUAUCCAAAGCAUACGGAAAUAACAUAUUAUCCAUGAAAUAUCAAACAAUCAAAACAAAUCCAUGUCAUUCAAAACAAAUACAUAAUCCAAAAUCAUAAUGAAAUGUAGGUGUGUCCAAAUACAAGCAUAAGAGACUACUAAGGUGGUGAGGAUGGUGGUGAUGGAGGUGGAUACGGAUAUGGAAUGCCGAAGUGCUCAAAGAGGAGGCGCUGUCCAUGAAUAAACUGCUGCUGCUGGUGGUGAAACUCAGUCUGCCACACAGAGAGUGUCCUCACCUCAUCCAUAAGCUGCUGAAGAGUAACUUCUUCAAAAGUAGGAUGCUCGGGAUGUGGUAAAGAAGGUGCAGAGGCUGUAGGAGCCGAGGGAGAUACUGAAGGAGCUCGACGUCUACGCUGACCCCGAAAUGAAAGUGCAAAAACAGGUAGCUGAUGGGCUGGAACCACAGCAUUAAGUGGUCGAUCAUCACUUGGAGCAAGAAAGGUGAACUUUUUAUCAGUGACUUUUACCCAAGUGCCAUUACGACACUCAAAACCUAAAGAACUAACAGCCUCAUCCCCAAUGCUCUUAGACGGCCUACAUGAUGGUUCUUGGAUAGUGACGCUAAAGUAUUUGAGGAUUCGGGUGAUGAAAUGACCAUUCAGAAGGGAACGAGUAAUCAACUUAGGUAUACUAAGCAUGUUUCGGACAAUGGUGUAUCCUAAGUCGACUGGACGAUGUCUAAGAAUACAAUCAAUCAAGGCAACAUCCAUAUGAGAAACCUCAUCCAAAUGGCCUGAUCUAUGAAGCACAAUACUCUGAAUAAAACGAAGUAAUAUCCGAGUUUGAAGACAAAGACAUUGGGUGCGAAAAUGGAUAGUACAAUCAUCAUCCGAAAGAUCAAUACGACGACAUAUAUUCUUAACAGCAUCAAUAUGAACAUAAUCAUCAAUAUCAGGAGGUUUCCUAGGUGAAAAAAUUUCUAGGCCAUCAUCGGAAGUUCCUAGAAUAGAGUUCAACUCCGAAUCAUCAAACUCAAUCGAAACUCCUUCAACUGUGGUGAUUACUCGAUUCUCUUUCUCCGCGGAACAAUCCAUAUUCGAGUAAAACACUUUCACCAAGUCGGGAUAUACAUUUUCCUCAAAAACAAUUGAAUUAAGCCAACCAACAUCUUCCAACAAUUGCAAUAAAGUUCUAUUACUAAUACUAAGAUUAUUCAACCAAUCCGGUAAAACAAAAAAGGUUUGGAGUACCUCACGAGUCAUGAACUGUUGGUGAAAUCGUUUGGCUAGAUGUUUGUGGUUCUGAAAGUGUCUGGCCUCAAAGUUGGAUUUAUUGGAUGUGCCCCCUGCUUGUCGUGACCGGUUGGUAUGUUGAACCGGUUCUUUGCCUUUUCUUCGAAUCGGCCGUGAGCUUGACAUGGUGAAUUUUUUUGAUUUGAAGUGAAAUAAAUCAAUGAGAAGGGAGAUAAUAAGGAUGGAAAGAGAUUUUGAGAAGCAAUUUCGAUCAAAAACGGCUUCAGAGGGGGAAAUCUAGAGAGAGAAGUUUCGGCUUAAACCAUAGAAUUGAUUUCGGAUCUAUUGAUUUUGAGGUUCAAAAAAGGUUUGAAGGAUGAUUUUGGAUACAAGAACGGAUGGGAAACAAGUUUCAUGGAUCCAUUUGCAUAAAAAACCUGUGAAAAUGAUGGAUUUUGGAGAGAAAACGAGAGAGGAAUAUUCGGUUUUAGAGAGAGAUAGCUAACCGGUUUACCGAAAGAUAAAGGAGGAGAUGAACAGUUUAUAUACUCGCGAAUCCGGCUAUCCGGAAAUUAUUAACCGGCUAACCCAUUGUAGGCAGUGACCUACCCACGCGAAUUCAGAUUUCCGGUUUGAAUAACCGGCUAUCCGGUUUCGUCUCCAAGAAAAAACAGCAAACUGCCUCACUCGGCUGAGAUAAAAAAAAACCAACUGUGAUAGGGAAUGCAUAAUUUGUUUGAAAGAUGAAGUUUCACUUGAUUUCUUGCCAUGUGCGUACCAAGUUUUGUGUGCCAGUUGCAGUGUCAAAAUUAUCAUAGUUUGUCUUAAGAAGUCUGAAAGAUUAGAAAAAGAGAUUGCUAAGUUCAAGAAAUGAAAGUGAGAUAAAAUUACUUGUGUCGCUUCUUGUGUCUUCCCAUUGUUUAAUUCUGAUAUUGUUGCUUACUAAAUUAACAAAGAAAGACCAGCACAAUGACUGCUGAUGAAUACUUUGAGAAGCAUCCAGAGCUAAGGAAAGAAGUUUGAUGAUGAAAUCCGGAAUGAUUAUUGGGGAUAUUAAUUCAGUCAUGUGCAUUCAGUUAUCGGGAACAUCUUCUUUCAUGCAGACUCUCGAGUUCAUCCCAACCACCAUGCUGUUUUGGUGCAUCAUAACAAGAAUAAGCCAAUUGUUUUACUCCAUUUUGGUUGAUUUGACUAUCACAAAAAAUUCCAUGAUAUUUGGACAUUACUCAGAAUCUAGCUAUAAUAAUUUCUCUUUUCUUAUUUGCCAAAUUUGCAUUAAGAUUUUUUUAGAAGAACUUUUAUGUUUUCACAUUCAGAAAGAGUUAAAGCAAAGCAAUUGCAGUAGCAGUGUGUAUGGAAUUUGUUGAAUGGAUCCAUUUGAAAGUCCAUUUUUUAUUCUUUAAUGUAAUAUCUAAUAUUAAAAAAAUCUUAAAACAAAAAUAUGAAUGAAUUGAAAAAUCAAAGUAGUAUUCCACAUUCCCAUGUAAAAAUAGAUUAACGACACCACUUUAAGAAAAGCUAAAAAUAAAAAUAGAUAUAUAUUAUUAAACAAAAUGAAAGUUGGAACUUACAAAGAGCUAAUAUUAUUACUUUAAUCUUCUAGUAUUUAGAGUUCAUCUUGUGGCUGAUAUUAUUGCUUGGCUACGUGAAACCAUUUUAGUCUUGUCAACACUAUCUUGUGGCUGAUAUUUUUUAUUGAAAUGCUCUUCAUCCACCAACUUGGUUCUUGUCAGUUUGCUUGGUAACUUCUUCUUGUUUGGUUUUGGUGCAUUAUUUAUCUAUUCACUCGUUAGUCAGACACUUUUUUUUUGUAUUUUUUGUUUCUACGCACAAGACUGAUAAAAUUAAAUGGGCUUAAUCUUUUGUCUUCCUAAUAGCAAUAUUCAAUAUUUAUUUAGUAAUAUUUCUAGAACUCUAAGAAAUAACUGGAUUUAAAUUUUAUGAAUUAUAUAUUGUGCUAAAAGCACAAAGACAAUCAUAUGAGUGUAUAUUAUUAUUAAAAUUAAACAAUUGGAUUUAACCUCCUCUUCAUACAAUUCAUAUACAUUGGCUCGCUCUCGCUCUCUUUUCUACAUGCAUGUGUCAUUUACAUUUAGGUAUUUGUAUGCGCGUAUAUUAUUAUAAUGUAAUCCCUCUAAAAAAUGAGACCAAUCACAGUCCAAACAAAAAAAAGAAAGAUAAAGAAAAGUUAAUACUUUAAUGGCAUUGUUAAUACGUCACAGUAAUCAUGUCCCUCGAAUCCGGAUAACUGGAUUUAACAACCGGUUAUCCGGAUGUUGACUGCAAGCAACAUGCUUGCUGUCACGCGAAUCCGGAUGACCGGAAGUCAACAACCGGUUAUCCGGAUGUUGACAGCAAGCAUGUCAAUCGAAACCGGAUAACCGGAUUUCCUAACCGGUUUUCCGGUUAUUGCAUGUCCUGUAUAAAGUUUAAAAAAAAUAAAGGUAAAAUUACCACGUUUGGUUGGUUAGGUUUGCAAUAAAUAUGAUGAAAAAAAAACUCACCUUCCCUCCAUUAAUGAGGGAUUAUCCUAAGGCUCAUGUCCAAGACUUCUUCACAAAAAACACAGUCACUCCAAAACAUAGUCCCAAAUACUAUUACUGCGGUCUCGUUCAACAUCUAUGGUGCCUAGUUUUCAACUUUUCAAAAGUUAAGUUUCUCUCCAACAAAGGUAUGUGUUGUAAUUUAAGUAGUUGAUUUGUGCUCCCAUAGAUGGUUUCAGAAAUAUUAUUAUAUUAAAUUAUUAAGAUAAAGGGUGUGAAUUAUGUUAUUAACAAAGUUUUGGUUGAACAGGGGUUAAAUAUGAGUAGCCCACAUAGUUCCAGCAACCUAGGAAUAUCCAUUGCUCCAAAUGUUGGUUUACAGGUAUCGGACGUACUUGGCAGUCAUUUCGACUCAGUAGAAGAUGCAGAACUGUGGUAUAACAAUUAUGCCCGAAUGCUUGGUUUUGGUGUUAGGAAAGAUGAUAUGCGGCGCGGAAAAAAGUCUAGACGAAUCACAAUUCGACGUUGGGUUUGUCAUUUCGAAGGGGUAAGAGAUGAAAGACAAUCUCAAAACUGCAGUAGGGUGCAGAACCACGACCUAUAACACGAACCGAGUGUCGGGCAUCAUUUCGAGUGAAUUACGAUGAUUCAGUUGGUAAAUACAUCGCCAAAGAAUUCAGGCCUGAGCACAACCAUCAUUUGGCUUCUACUAAUGGAGUUCAUCUCAUUCGUUCACAUCGAAAGGUUACUGAUGCAGAACUUGCGCAAGCAAAGGCAUUAAGGCAUGUUGGUGUGAAGACUUGCCAAUUCAUGGAUUACAUGGCUGAUCAGGUAGAGGGGCCUCAAAACCUAAGGUUCACACGCAAAGACAUGCAAAACACGCUAGAUGCUUCCACUCGUGCCGAGGUUGGAGAUUCUGACUCAGACACAACUAUAGCAUACUUUGCGGCAAAAUCUGAACAUGACCCUGGGCUUUGCUUUGAGUACACACUAGAUGAUGAAAAUAGACUACGAAAUUUGUUUUGGGCUGAUUGUGUAGCUCGUUAUGACUAUCAGUGUUUUGGUGAUGUGUUGGCAUUCGAUGCAACGUAUAAGACUAAUGUAUAUCAUAAACCCCUCGUUACACUUGUCGGAACAAACCAUCACUUCAGAACAACGGUCUUCGGUUUUGCUUUGCUCGCAGAUGAGACAAUUGACUCAUACACGUGGCUGCUACAAACUUUUCUAUCCACUAUGGGCAACCGAAUGCCCGUGUCUGUAAUUACUGAUGGUGACAAGGCAAUGUCGAAGGCAAUAAAGACAGUGUUUACCGGGUGCAUCCAUCGUCUUUGUUGUUGGCAUCUUGAGCGCAAUGCGCAGGCUAAUUUGAAGAACGAAGACUUUACGAGAAAAUUUCGUGAUUUGAUGUUGACACCUAUGACGGUAACUGAAUUUGAAACCCAAUGGUCAGCUGUAGUGGCUGAAUUCGCACUUGAACAUCAUGCAUGGGUACAGAAAAUGUAUUCAAAGCGGUGCAAGUGGGCGGAAGCUUAUCUUAGAGGAACAUUCUUUGCUGGUAUGCGAAGCACUCAACGAUGUGAAAGUAUGAAUGCAUAUCUUAGCCGAUUUGUCCAACAUAAACUAAAAUUGUAUGAGUUUGUGCGACAAAUCGAUCGUGCUCUCCGCAAUAUUCGUACCACAGAAACAUCCGAUGAGUUCAAAACCAAAUACAGUACUCCUGUCUUAAGAACUCACUUACAGAGCCUCGAGAAACAUGCUGCACAAUUGUUCCCGUUAAGAGUUUUUUCGAAGGUUAGAGAUGAGAUGCUGCGAGAAAGAGCGGUCAUCGAAGUAAAAACUGUCAAAGCUGUCGAUGUUGCAUUGUACACAGUGACUGAAUUUAGGACACCUACAACAUGUUGGAAUGUCAUCCACAAUCUACAAGAAAACCACAUACAGUGUUCGUGUCAAAUGAUGGAGUUUGUUGGGCUUCCUUGUAGGCAUAUGUUUCAUGUCUUGAAAGUGGAACAAAUUGAAAAGAUUCAUGACAAUAUGGUUUUUCGUAGAUGGACAAAAAAAGCCAAGGAGCACAAUACUUGCAGGACCACAAAACCAGAAGUUGACACUGAUGUUUCAGAGAUGGCUAGAUUUAGUGCAUUGUCUGCAGCCUGCAAUAAAAUGUGCUACAAUGCAGCAAAAAACGUUGAAGCCUAUGAAAAUGCAUUGGUAGAAAUCAAUCGGCUAACAUUAACUUAUGAACAACAAUCUGAACGAGACGGUCUCCCAAAUAAAAAAUUGCGGAUGGGAACAAAACUUCGUAAUCCUGCAGUUGUAAAAACCAAGGGCGCUAUGUCUAAAACAAAAUGUGUAGCAGAAAGCUCUAGAAAGUGUGGAAAAUGUCGUCAGGUUGGGCAUACAACACGAACUUGUUCUAUUCAAGGGAAUGAUAGCACCCAGCUAAGGUAUGUCCCAAGUUCUUUAUCAUGUGUUUAAUUAUUGCAUUGUUGGAUAUUUCAUUGCAAAUAACUUUCAUGGUAUUGAUUUAGUGUCGAUGGAAACUGUUUUGCCGCAUUCGAUUCAUCAAGCACCCAGAAUCUUGGAGCCUCUACUGGUGUCAAUCCAACAUUGUUAGGUCAUGCAAGCAACCAAUUUUCAAAUGUUUUUUAUUGGUGGCCUCAUUAAACAAUGCCAUUAAAAUGACUCAAUAUGUAUUACCAUUUGAAUUCCACUAUCAUGUACUAACAUGACAACCAGUUUAAUAUCAAAUGAUGAGAUGUGAACACUGUUAACAUGCAUAUGUUCAUUAUAGUUAAAUUAUGUCUCGGCCAAGAAUACAUAACCAUGUCAUAAAUUUAAAGAUAAUUCUCCAUUACAAUUGAUUUUACAACCAUCGUAAGCAAGAAGACAAAAAAAUUCACGGUAUUACCUCCCAACAUGUUUCAAACAUCUUACAACAAAAAAUAGUAUGCAAUCACUUGCAUAAUCAUUCCCUACUAUAGUUCGAUAUCUAAGCGCGUGUUCUCGUGUUAACUUUCUUCUUCUUACGAAUGUUGCCGCUUUGUUGGUGAAAUGACUUUUGCACUUGAGAGGAUACAGGGUUCACCAUUACAGCAUGAAUCGCAAACUGUGCAUUGCUUAGUUCCAGCAAUUUAUCUCGAUUUUGAUUCAAUGCAGAAUUAAUUAGUUGAAUGGCUAGCCUACCUCGUGUAUCCUCAGAUGUGAACUAGUCAAUUUGAAAGGAAACCAAUAUUACUUUCAUAUAAUAAGUAGCUUUUAUAUAAUUAUGAAGUUAACAAAAUUCUGAGUUCAACAAUUAAACAAGUUUGGCAUAGUCGUACCAAAGUGGACGAUUUCUUCGGAAUAAAUUCUGGGCUGUCCAUAUAGUUUAUCACAUAAACCCCACAGUCAUAUCCAUUCCUUUGCUUUGGAACUCCAAUGCCCCGGUUGAUUGGAAAGUCUUGAAACUUCAUGUGUUGCAUAUUGCUUGGCAAUUGGGGCUGCAUAAUCCAAUCCAAGGAAUGUAGCUGUCGGCAAUGUUGAAAACCAGACAAUAUUAUAGAUAUGAAUAUAACACAAUAUACAUAACUGAUAAUGUUAAAUAGAUAACAAAAAUAAAGAACAUGAUUAAGAUACAAUGCGCAUGGCUUGAUCGUGCCGUCUUCUAUUACUGCGGGGAUCUGGAAGAGGAUCCCAUAUUUCUGCACUUGUAUUUCUGACAUUCACGAUCAGUAGGUACCAAUGAGAUGAUUCAUCAUUUAUUGGCACAUAAAUCUAACAUUUCAAUUGUCAAUGUCAUACACCAAGCACACUAGUAGAAACUGAAAUAAGUUAAAGGUUAACAAACUAACCUUUUGACACUUAUGCACCUGUUGCAUAAAAUUCUUUCCACAUCUAGCUGCCCUUGCAAAACAAUCCACCUCAUCUCCGACCAUUAAAACUGCUUGCUACACAUAAUAAAGACAACGUUGAAUAAGGAAGUUGUCAAUAAAGAAACCAAAGCACAAUGCAACAAGUACCGGCGAGACUCACAGAAUAUCUUGUUGGUAAAUACCAGUUCAUUGGCACAUCUUUCUCCACCACCUACUGAAUGAGGGUGAGGUGAUGCGCUUUCAUAGAAAUCACCUAAAAGUGAUCAUAUUUAUUGAGAUAUAUAAUAACAUGUAAUAAACGAUAAACAUAUAUUGUGACAUCACCAAAUGUUGAAACCUAAUACCUCGCCACAUAGAUAAGCCCCCGGCAAAAGAGUCAAUAAAGAAUGCCGAUUAAGAAUUUCGCCGCAACUAGAAACAAUGAUUUCACUAAAGAUAAAACACGGUAAUUUUUUAGUCGUAUAGCAUAACAACUAUAUACAGAAAACUAAUUUCAGUCUUCUGAAUUUAACCUUCCCUCUGCGUCCUUGUUAAAAGCAUAUUGAAUAAGCUUCAAUUCUUCCAGCGUAACUGGAUCAUUGACUUGAAACGGACCAGCUUUAUACUUGGGAUUUGCUCCCCUGGACACUUGAUCGUACGGUGAAAGUUGAUAUCGGCCUGGCCUACGAUUCCUACUUGGUCGCGUUGGCAGGACACUGAGACUAGUAGAUGUUUGAGGUUCUUGCUUAAGUUGAACUGGUUCAUCUAUAUCCUUUAUAAAAAAUAAAUUUAUAUGUAAGUUACUUCAUAAGUGAGUUAUCAUUGAAAUCAUUUUAAGAAAACGACGUUAUAAAACUGUACCUCAUCUCGGAGAUUAGGUGGUGGAAUAGGGACAAAGUGGGUAGGAUCUUUGCGAAAUUCACCGAUUCCUUCUCUUGUCCCCAUCCAGCCCAUUAAUUUAUCGAGGCUCAGGUUCAAUCUGCGAUCCACAGAGUCCUCGUCGCUAUCCAUUACCAUUUUGUUUUUUUCCAUCAGUAGUUGGCUCGGUUUUUCUGACUGGACAUGUUGGUUCUACUAUUUUCAAGCUCGGAGAUUGCGGGCAUGGAUCAGAUGGUUGUUUUGAUAGUGCACCAACCGGAGACUUGGAUCUCAAUUCCUCCAAAGACUUCUCAACCAUUUCCAUUCUCACAUUGAAUGAAUCCAUUUUGUGUUCAAUUCUGUGGACACACUGUGUUAGUACCCUAAAAGCUUCCUCCAUAUUAACAGUGCUCGGCCCAACAUCUUCGGUUUGUUCAAAAUGAGCGAAAUUUCUUUCGAGCUGCAGAAAAUUUGAUUCACGCAUUGGAACCUAAAAUAAAUAUGCACAACAAUCAUACAUAAUGACAAUCAAAAUAUAUUCAAUUAACCGUAAACAAAAUUAAAUACAUGUGUGAACAAGACAAAAAAUAAAACAAACCUCAGUACUGGUCAUGUCCCCAAACUUUUUCCGCCAAUUCAAUAAGCGCCGAAUCUCUUCCUUGGUCCAUACACUAACAGGGCAAACUGUUCUGUCCAUGGAACACCGAUCAUAUAAAACAGCACUAAAGUAGAACAACUGUACAUUCAAAAAACAAUUACUACGUCAUUUUAUUUUUCGUAUUUGGAAAAUUAAUUAUGGCAUCUAAGAUUUCUUAAAUAUACCUCUAAAAACACAACACAACCACUAACUGACUUCACUUGAUUAUCUUUAUACUUCGCUAUGCCCUCCCACAGAAAGUUGAAACACCAUGUAGCCCAAUUCUUUUUCCUAAUUAAUUGCACAUCUUUUAGGGAAUGCAGAUACAUCGGAUUGAUGUAGCUGGCACUUGUGGGACACAAUACAGUUCCUAGAAGAAACAAACAAAACAUGAUCUUAAAGUCAUCAUCACUACUCUCACUAGCUAUUAUUCUUUCACUAACUGCGGCUAUUUCAAUUCCUCUUCCACUUGUUCUAUACUUGGCACGCAGUUCAAUUAUAUCACCCGCUUCUUCUCGGAUGUAUACUGGUUCCCCUCCAUCUUUGAUCCCCAUUACGAUGCUGAAGGUUGUAGGGUUUAAACAAAACUCUCUCUCGUGCAAAACUAUACAGUGCCUCUUUGUAUCACAUUGUUGGACAAGUGUUUCACAGAAGUCUUGUCUCAGGCGACCACAUCGUAAUUCUAGCAUGCUUCCGAAGCUAAUUUCUCUAAUUGCAGCUUGUUGGUCGGCCGAUAGUGUGGAAAUGACCUUAGUGAGUGCACUGACACGACAACGAGAUAAAUUACAUUGGCUAUGCUUAUCCCCAAUUUUUUGUUCUUCAUCUUGUUUUUCAAUACUCCUUUCACCAACAUUUGAACUUGGGUCCUCAUGCAUCGUACCAAAUCGGCACUUCUCCUCAUUCGUUAAUUUCUUCCAUUUUUCAACAAUUGUCGCCCUACAAACUUUUUUGAUCCCUUCUUGCCUGACCUUUUCUGCUUCAUGCUUACUGUACACAACAUUUUAGUUCAACUAAUUACGUCAACAAAAUUGUUAUAAUAAGAACCUUAUUCAAAGCAAUAAUUUUAUACUUACAAAAAGUGUAUCCACGCUCUCUGACCAGGUCCUCCCCUUCUGCCUUAUGUGGACUCCAUUUUAUAACUGUAUGCUAUAUUUUAAAUCCUGAAAUAGACCACACAUAAAUGUAGUAUCAAGGCCGGACCCAUAACAAUGGCUAAGUUCUUGGCAAAUUAUUGAGCGCUCAUCUUUAGUAUUCCUACCAAAGACUGUAGAGCUCAAAACAAGCAAACAACACCUAAAACCAAACAAGAAAAAUUUAGGGUUCCCAUAGAAAAAUAACACUUAAAAACCAAAUCUCAAAAAAUCAACCACAAAAUAGAAAUAAAUUAAAAAAUGCCAUUGAAUUUUUACCAACUAAUGCCAUUGAAACCACGCAAAACCAUGGGAACAUUGCAUCCCCUUCUAAAUAUCUUUCUUCAAUUUAAUGCUUGAAUUACAGUACAUCAAUCAUAUCAGGAUUGAGGAUUUUCUUGCCAAUUUCAUGCUUCCAAGCCAUUAAUCAUCUCUUCAACAUCAAUUUUUCAUCAUCUAAAUAUCUUUUUUCACUCUAAAUUACCAAACUUCUAAUUGUUUCAAAUCUCUAAUUAUUUCACACAAAAUUUAUAGUACAUCACAAAAACCACAAAGGUCAAAAUUACCUCAUCACCUUCUCGUUAACUCACAAAAUGAAAAGGAAAGAGAGGAACUUGUGUUCAUCUUCAACACCUCAGGAUGACAGCGACCGCUUCAUGGAUUCCACUUCUUAUUUGCUUUGAACGAGAUGGUGCCUUUGAUCUUCUAUGAUUACUAAACAAAUAGAAGAGAGAAAUUUGAGAGAAAUUUGUGAUUUCAAAGUGAGAUGUGAGAGAUUGGGAAUGGCCUGGGUGAAACCCUCAAAAAGCAAAAUUUUGUUUUGCAAGCUUUGGGAACCGGUUUAAUAAGUUAACAAUUUUUUCCUCUUUUUUAUUUCUUUUCAAUCUCAGCCGUUGGAUUCAUUUUACUUGAAUCCAACGGCUGCGUUUACAAGCCGGCACAAUGCCGGGCCUCAAUGCCCGGCAUUGUAGCUUUAGCCAAGUUUAGUUUACAAUUACACCGGUGUCAAAUCAGCAGAGCAUCGGCAAGAGUUUUCGAUUGUUGCAAUUUGCAAUGCAUGUGGUACAUGCACGCACUAAUAAAGAAACACAAAAAGUGCAUUCUCAAGCCAAUAGUAUUUGUUUUUAAUCGCUACUUUGCAUAAUAAUGUAGCUUAGUUAGGAAAUUUGUAAUUAUAUUAUGCGUCCGUUUGGUAUAACUUUUUAAUUAGAACUUAUUUAAGGAGAACUAUUGUUUGUAGAGUUUUUAUAAAUAGAAAUUUUAAUUAAAAAAAAUUAUAAUUAUUUAGUUGUCAAUGUCCAAAUUGAUGAACUAUUGUUCUUUUUGUUAACAUGUGUUUGUUUUACUUAAUAAUAAAACUUUAGUUUACAAUUACACCGGUGUCAAUUAUACUAAUAGCAUCGGCAAGAGUUUUCGAUUGUUGCAAUUUGCAAUGCACGCGGUGAGAGAAAAUGAGAAUCUUGUUUAAUCCUUUCAUUAGGAGUAAUUUAAUAAUCGUUUGUUAUAAUAGAAUAUGUAUAAAGAAAGGAAAAUUAUAUUCAUAGAUUUGGCUUAUUUUUUGUUUAAAGUAAUUCAGAUCAUUACAACGUCCUUUUCGCUAAUUAAUUACAACGUCCUUUUCGCUAAUUAAUUAUGAUUAUAUACAUUUUCAUAUGGCAAGUGGCAUUGUAGAUCUAAACGACGUUGCUAUUUCAAUACGUUAAUUAAGUGAUUCUCCUGAUUGUCAUCAGCGCUAUACCCUCUAGGAAAAUAGCUCAAUUGUUUUCCUGCAUUGAUUUUCAUUGGUAUGUGAUUUCUUAUGAAAUUCUUUUGAGCUUUCCUUAGUUAAAAAGCUUGAGCUUUUAUCACCUAAUACUGAUAUCAAUUAACUUGUGAACGAUUUUAUACCCUCUCUUUUUUUUCUUUUUUUUUAAGUACUCUGUUGAAAGCCAAAGUUCCUUUGGCCAGUUAAUUUAGAAGUGAAGGAAAGAAUAAAGUUAGGCCUCGACGUCUUUUGAGAUUAGAAAUACAUUUUGAAUGCUUUAAUAGAUGCAGAGCAAACUGGCUCGAUAUCUAACUAUUUUAAGAGCUAAAAUCAUUUAUUAGAAGUUGUAGCAUUAAAAAAAAUGGGCUUGAUAUCCAAUUUUGUUAUUGAAUAUGUCUCACGUGUUACUGGCAGAUGGCUAUGCUAGGUUUUAUUGCUCCUUGAAUUUGAUUGAAAAAUUAUUGAGGCGGACAAGUUUGGACCAUUGUUGGACACUGAAACUACACAUCAGUCUUAGAAAAUUGUAAUUUUGUUGGCUUAUCAUGAUUUUGAUCGCCUCACAUUGAUUUUCCUAUGACGUCUCUGUAGAGUGGCUAUGCUUACAUUUUUAGGUAUUUAAUUCUAAAAAUUAACUUAUUAGAUGGAAGGACCAAUUCUACCUGUAAAUACAAGUGGCUUCCCUUUACCAACUCAUACAAGACACAACAAUAAUCUUCUUCAGAAAAAACCACCGUCGGAGGGCUAUUUUCGUUCAACAUAAAUGAGUUGUUCCGCCACCAUAUUUUAAGGGUUUGCUUCUAAUACAACUUGGGGGAGCUAGGGCUAAGAUUUCUAAGAAUCAACAUAAAAACCUUGCCUAUUGGAUGGAAGGACCAAUCCCACUUAUGAGUCUAAAUGACUAAUUUUUGAGGACACAACUCAACAGACCAAUAUAAACUUUUGACGUCCCAUUUUAUUACUUUCCUGUGUUUUUACUUUUGAUGCUGUCUAUAGCCCUACUAUUCUAUUAAGCAGAAAAUAUUUCAAGGCACUCUCGGUCCAGUAGAUAACUUUGGUAUUUAUUAUCUAUUUUCUUUCCAUUUUAUGUAAACCCCGAUCUUUACCUCUGAUUGGUUGUAGAUUCUUUUGUUGCUUUGGGGUUAGGGGAUGGUUUUCAUAACUAUUAAGUUGAUCAAUGCAGAAAAUCACCAUCAAGAAAUGAUAAAGGAUUGUUAGUUCUAUCUGACAAACAACAUUAAUAUGAAGGAUGAUGAUUGUUCUGUUCAAGAGUUUAUAAUGACAUAAUUCUACUUUGGUCUUUUAAAAAAAGUAAUUUAGAAACGAGUAUGUGAGUGAUGACUUUUACAAAAUAAAUUACAUGCGCAGUGAUGAUUUUGACACAUGAAAAUGAAAAAAGAAAUAUAACUUGUGAAUAAUAAUUGAAGUACCUGCUAUUGUUAUAUUGGGUAUUGAUAAAUGGAUGGUUUUGGAAGAAUUGAAAAUGAUGGCAUAAGUAAACCGAAGUUAAGAGAAAAGAGAAAGAGCAUUUGAACUUUACUAGUAAGUAAAGGCAAAUUUCUUGGUUCAAGAAAAGAUAAGAGAUAUCAAACUAGCAAUAGGAAAAAGGAGGAAGGUUAAGACAGCAUCUUAACAAAAGCUAAAGAAAAGAAAAACUUAGUUCAAGCAAAGAACAAUGUGCUAAUGUCGUGUAAUCUUGUUUAAUUUCUUUUUCUUCUCACAUUUUCCAGGGCUUAAAUAAUACAAUAUACAUUUUCAAGCAAAGAACAAUAUGCAAUUGCAGUACUUCUGAGCACACAACAACAAAUAAAUAGUACAAUAUACAUACCCACUAAAUUAAAAAAAAAAUAUUAUUCAAGUUUGUGGACAAUACUGUAGCCAUGCCGUCGUCGAAAUCUACUGACAGCUGAAACAAAGAAAGAAUGGAUGAAUGCUGGAUCACAGUUGAAAUUGAAGGUCUGGUAGGUGAUGUUUCCCUCUCUGAUUUUACCUAAACAAAUACAAAAAAAUAAGAAUCACAAAUGAAAAUCUGCUAUUACACUGUUCUUACUUAUUAAAAUACAGAGGUUUCUUUGUUUCUCUGCAGCAAUGUCCAUGGCUAUUAGAAACAAGAACAAUUAGACCAGCAUUUGCAAGAAUCCUUUAAGGUAUUACUGCAGAUAUAAAUCCACUGAGGAAAUGGAAAAAGUGAAUACCAAAUUAGGCAAGUUAAAUGAAGAUUGAGUUAUCAUAGAAGAAUAAAACUCAUCCAAUUCAAUCCAUCAAAUUCCAUAAGGAUACAACUGGAUGUCAUACUGCUGCUCCAUAUCCUCAAGAGCCCGUAGAUUUUGCCUCAACUCUGGCUGAGGCCAAUGUAAGUCCAAUUUGCAAAAGCUCUUUAUGCACCAUAGCUCUUCAGGAAGCUUUCUCAAGUAAGCACAAGGGUUGACAAUUAUGCUCCCAAGUUUUGGCAUUGCUCCAGCCCCUAUCGUCCACUCCUCUAGCCAACAAAUUGAUUUCAGGUGCAAUACUUUGAGCUCCGGGAAACCACAAGAGCAAACACAAGCCAGUUUUCUUCCUGAAUAUGAGUUCUGCUUCAAUUUCAGCACUUGAAGGUGUGGAAGCUUGUCUAGUGUUAGCAUGGUAUCCGCCAAUAACUCAGUAUUUGAUAAGCUUAGUUGGAUCAGACUUGGAGAAGCUGGUAUUUAGACAGGGCCAUCCGAGAGAGCUACCACCUCUUGGUUUCGUUCACCAGCUUCAAGCAUUCAAGUUUGUGUAGUUCGCAUAGGCUUUUGGAAACCCCAGAACGAUAAUAACUCAAACCUCCAGAUACUAAGAGUUUGAAAAUGAGGUAGUCUGCCUGUUAAAGUAGCUCACUAUGCUGAACGAAAGAAGGAGAAAGCUAAGCUGAAGAAAAUACAGGGCAAGAGUAUUAGCUGUGCCAGCUCAACUGACAGCUCAGCAAAAUCAGUUAAAUUUUGUUACAAGCCCCCUGUGCAUUGUGCUGAAGAUUAGUUAGUUUAAUAAUGAUUAGUUUUAGAUUAGUUAAAAUGUAAUCAUGAUUAAGAUAUAUAUAUAUAUAUAUAUAUAUAUAUAUAGAUAUAGAUAUAUAUAUAGCUGCUGUACUGAUAGGGCAUCUCAAAAGUUCUGAAAUAAUACCUCAAUUCUAUGGCAAAAAUAAAUAAUCUCAAACAAGAACCAAUAAUCAUAUUUUGUUACUGUCAAACACAAUGCAUAUGAGCAAAACAUUGGAAGCCAACACCAGAAUACAUAUGAAUAAACAAUUAAAGAUAGAGAAAAAAGGCUUAAACCUUGGGGGAAAAAAGUGAAAAAACAUGAAAGACAAAUUACACAUGUGCAGUAACCAUCGAACUUAUCAGUGACAGCUGCAUCCAUUACAUUGCUCCAACAACACAAUGGCAAACCACCAGUUUCAAAUUGAGGAUAGCUAUCGAGAAUGAGAAAGUGUCCAAAACAUCAUAAAUAGACAUGUUCCUAUUGUGCAUAAUUUACAUUAUAGGCAAAUAUUCUUAUACCAUCAAAGGCAAAACAUGACACUAACAAUUGAUCCCCCCCCCCCCCCCCCCCCCCCCCCCCCCAACAAAAAAAAAGGAAAAAACAAUACAGAAAAGAUUGAAACAGAUAAGGCUACACUGAGCACAGGAUGCCAUGAAACAUAAUCCAGGAACCAAAUUAAUAAAGAAGGAAGGCAAACCAUUAUUUAACAAUCUGUUUUGUAUUUGGGAAAGUCCGAUAAAAUCUACUUAGGGAUAAUUAGAGAACCUCAACUAUUAAUCACACCUCAUAAAUGAACUAACAUUAACCAUGUACCAUCCCCACAUCAGACAAACAUUCUCUAUACUUCUGAACCUAAUACUUCCAUCUUCAAUUGGGGUUUUUUUUUGUGGGGGGGGGGGGGGAUAAGCUAUCGUGUUUCUAAGCUUGCUUACCUUCUGUGUGGGACUGAAAUACUGAUUUCGAAUCAUUAACAGUAAAAUUGGAAGCUCAUGAAAAAACAAUUUUAUCUUUUAACAAAAGUUAAAAUUACAUCUCCAUAUAAAUUCUCUUUUCAUUUCCUUCAAUUUUCUAAUUAAGCUUAAAAAAAUGUACCUUCAACCACAAAGGGGUUUAAAAUUUAAAAUAUAUAAAAAAAUAAAUUCAGAUAACAAUAAUUAAUUUAAUUAAAAAUAUAAAUAGAGAUUACAGAGAAAGAGAAAAUAGAGAAAGACCUAAUGUUGAGUCCUUUGGUUCUCUUCAUAGGUCCGAACCAUUUCUUCGGGCGUGGGUUUCGGGUCUUUAGGAAACUCCAUCGUCAUAAGCCAGUGAUUGUAAUCGCAACCCUCCAACAGAAUCGUGUCGGGUGUGAUCUCGUCGCCGUCCUUACACAAGUGGUAAGUCUUGUUACCCGACGGCGCAGACGAGAGGGAGAUCGUCGGGGACGAUCUGAACGGCCGAGAAUGGAUGAUGAUGGAGGAGGAGGAGGAGAUUAGCGAUGACGACGCCGAUGAAAUGGAAGGGUUUACCAGAGGAGUGGAUGCCGAAAGUGCAGGGACGGCCGCCAGGAGAGAGCGGUGGAGAGCAGCGACGGCCGGCAGUGACCGGCGGAAGAUGGCGGGAGAUGGCAGCGUGGGCCAUUGCUUGCGCGUCAGUGAGUGUCUCGAGUGAGAGAGUGAAGGUAGGGAUGGCAAUGGGGAGGGAGGGAGGGUCCAAUCUCUCCGUACCCAUCCCCCAAUUUGUCCCCGUCCCUCCCCGUCCCCAUUUGCUUAGAAUCUCCAUCUCUGCUCGAAUAAUAACAGGAAAUCCUCGAGGUUCUAAAUAACUAAUAAUUUUUUUUAUUUUUUAUUUUUUUAUUUUUAGUUAAUUAUAUUAAAAUAAAAAAUAAAAAAUAAAAAUAAAAUUUAAAAUAUAUCUUAUAUUAAUAUUGAUCCAUUAUAAAAAUUACAUGUAAAAUAUAAAUUAUCAAAAUAAUUAUCUUUAUCAAUCUUCAUAAUCAUAUAAUAAAAAGAAAAAAAUUUACUUUUAUAUUGAUAAUAAAAUAAAUAUAGAUAAUUAAUUAAUAUUUUUAAUAAAACAAAAUUUUUGGGCUAAUAGAAUCUACCCUGCUUUUUUAAUAUCUUAAAUAAAAAUUUAAGACUUUAAUUAGUUAAUUAGGCCUAAAAAUUUAAUAAUAUAAAUAUUUUGAUAUUUUUUAUUUUACCAAUAUUUAUAAUUUUAUAAUAUAUUCAAUUUUUAUUAUUUAUUUACUAGUAAUUUUAAAAAAUAAAAAUAAAAUUAAAAAAUAAAAUGGGGGAAAUGGGGAGGGGAUGGGGAUUCCACCUCAUCCUUGUCCCUUCCUCGAAUAAGAAAUUGAUUAAAAAAAAUUUCCCGUCACUUUCUCGAAUAAGAAAUCGGGUAUAAAAUUAUCCUCGUACCCUCCUCGAAUGAGAAAAAUCUCCGAGGAUACCCAUACCCGUGGGGAUUUUUGCCAUCCCUAAGUGAAGGAUUUUGUUUAGGGUUUUGGGAAUUGAAAAAUGUAAAUGUUUGAUUUUGUUGCUAGAAACUUCUUCUGCCGCUGCUUUUUAUUUUCGCUAUAAAAGUAAUAAUUUGUUAAUCAAAUAUUUUCUUAAAAAAGAUAAAUUUCUAGAACAAAAUUUAUAUUAAAUCAAAUUGUAAAAAUGUGGAAUAGGGCUAAUUUCUCCUUAAUAUUAUUGUUAGUAGAAGUAGAUUUUCGAACUAGUCUUGAUAUAUUUUAGAGUUGUAUUAUAGAUGUAUAUGUAUCUAGAUUGUAAUUAUAUUUUAAAAAAUAUAAUUUUUUUAAUUAUUGCACAAUAAGUGUAGAAAAUAUCUAUAAAAUAAUAUUAUUAGAACUAUGAAAAGAAUUUAUUUUAGAGAAGUUGUUUUUUUAUUAUUGAAUUUGUUAAUUUAUUAAUUUAUUGACAAAUGAAUAUUUAUUAAUUUAAAGAGGGAUUUUUUUUUAUUUGCUUUUAAGAAGAGUUUUGUUGGUACAUGUACAUACUUAUAAAGAAAUACAAAAAGUGCUUCCUCUGUUCCUCAAAUCAAUAGUAUUUACUUUAAUUCAUAAUAAUAUAGCUUAUUUAGGAAACUUGUAAUUAUACCAUGUCUUUGUUUCUUUGUUCAUUUUGGUGGGACAAUGUGAUAAAUGAUUGGAUUAAAAUGCAUUAAUAAAUAAAAACUUAUUAAAACCUAAUUUAUUUGGGAACCACAUAUUAUUUGUCAGUAGUAUUUAUCAACUUAACAAGUUAUUUCUAAUUUGUCCCUCUCUAUUAAUGGUUCUCUUAAAGCCAAUAGGGUCGCAUUUGAUAUCUUGCCAUUACCGUUGGCAGUAGCGUGUUACCUAAGAUUUGGAUUCAUUGAAAUCCUCAAUGUAAUCGGUGGAACGAAUGGAUUUCUUCUAUUCAUAAUUUGAUGCUUUGGAUUCAUUGAAAUCCUCAACGCAUUUGAUAUCUUUUUCGUUGAAUUCGUGCAGUUAAAUAAUCUCUACCAACAUAUGUAUGUAUGUAUGAAAUUGGAGUAACCAGACCUUUUCAAGAGUUAAAUAAUCUCUACCAACAUUGUAGAUUGCCCGAUAAAGUUAACUGUGUUACCCAGCUCUAUGCAUAUACAUUAAAUGCAUGUUUGGGUAGUUUUAUAAAAUGAUAACAGCAUGUCAAAACUUGAUAUGAGUUAUAUUGUCAUAUUCGACAUUUUUAAAUUGAAAAAUAAGCAAGCAAUCUUCAGUGAACAUUACAAUUUUGUUCGCUCUACACCCCAUCAAUAUUUAAGCAAUCUACAUAUCAUUACUUGAGGAAAGAAACUCAUUGCGCCACUAGGCUUUUAACGAGGCUCAUUUCUAUGAAUCUGGAUAGCAUUAGAUAUCUCUCCGAAUACUGUUGGGAGUAGAUUGCAGUUCUCUGGGCUAUACUACAAAGUGUAUGUACGUUGAUUCUCUGAUAUGAUUCAAAACAUCAGUACAUGCAUCAUUUAAUGAGAAAGAAUAUUCUGAGAUUAUUUAUGCAUCACCAUUUGUAGUUGUACUGACUCUAAUGAAAUUAAAGGUGCAAUCAGCAACUAAAAUGAAGCCAGAAAGACACGCAUGAGGCAGUUUUCCUAGAAGAUUUGAUAUUUCUUUGACUAGCAAACCAUACGACAUUAAUCAAAACACAAUACGCACAAACAGACCCCUACAUACAUACCAGCAAAUUCAAAAUAGAAAAAGGAGUGCAACUAUUCAAGUUUGUAGACAAUAUUGCAGCCAUGGCAUAUCAAAGCAAAUCCUUGAAAUGUGCUAAACAGAACAAUGCCCUGUCUGAUGAAUCGACGCUCAAUUACAAUUGAAAUUGAAAGUCCGGCUGGUGUUGUUUCCCUCUCCAGUUUUGCCUACAUAAGUAAAGGGAAAUGAGAAUCAUAAAAGAAAAUCUGCUUUUAUGGUUCUUAUUAGAUAGAUAAAAAGGGAUCUUUCUUUGUUUCUCUGCUGCAAUGUGUGGCUAUCCCACUCUGUUUUGCCAGUCAAGCUGAGUCUAUGUUGAGACAUAAUUUUGACAUCAGAAGCGGCCUCAAUUAGUUUGGCACUUUUGCGAUAAACAUAAAUCUACUAAGAAAGUGCAAAAAAAAAAAAGAAAAUGAAUAUAAAAGUAUGAUUUAUCAGAUAAGAUUAAAACUCACCCAAUUAAAUCCGUCAGAUUCCAUAAGGAUAUAACUGGAUGUCAUACCGCCACUCCAUAUCCUCGAAAGUCCGUAGUCUUUGUCUCAGCUCUGUCUGAGGCCAAUGUAAAUCCAAUUUGCGCAAGCUCUUUAUGCACCACAGCUCUUCUGGAAGCUUUCUCAGGUAAGCACAUGGGUUGACAAUUAAGCUUUCAAGUUUUGGCAUUGUUCCUCCCCCCAUCGUCCACUCAUCUAGCCAAUACAUUGAUUUCAGGUGCAAAACCUUAAGCUCCGGAAAGCCACCAGAGCCGACACAGGCCAGCUUUCUUCCUAAAUACGAGUUCUGCUUCAGUUUCAGCACUCGAAGGCGUGGAAGAUUUUCCAGAAUUGGCAUGGGAUCCUCCAUUAGCUCAGUAUUUGAUAAGCUCAGUUGGAUCAGACUUGGGGGAAAUUGGUAUUCAGACAGGACCAUCCGUGAGGGCUUGCUCUCAUUCACCAGCUUCAAGCAUUCAAGUUUGUGGAGUUCGCAAAGGCUUUUGGAAACCCCAGAUUGAUAGUAACUCAAAUCUCCAGAUAUCCGAAGAGUCCGAACACUGGGUAGUCUGCCCAAUAUAUCAGGAGUACAACUACUAGGGUUUAAAGCUGAUAUGAAAAUGAGAUUUUUCAGAGAGCUAGUAUAAUUUUUUGGAGGUGCGGGCAGAGUGAUAGAACCAAAGUUUAGAUGCGUGAGUUUUUGCAUCAUCCAAAUAUCCUCUGGCGACUGAUCUAUGUAGCUAGAUGGCAUUUCUAGUGUUUGAAGGUUUAAAAGGGUGCAUAGCAGCAAAGGAAGGCAUUUGAGCGAAGGGAUAUUCAAUUUCAAGUACUUCAAAAAAUAUAAAUUUUCUAAUCCGGGUGGAAAUUGGUCGAGAACUGCGGAACCCAAGUUCAGUACCCGAAGGUAUUUGAACUUUUUACAAAAAUUCUCGCAAUCUAUCAGAGCGAGAUGAUCGCUUCGUGAACUGUGAUUCAGAAAAGAUUGGAUAUACAUGUCAGAAUAUUCUGGAGGAAAGAACUUAAUCAGACGAUCCAAAAUGAGAUACCGUUUAACAUUUGCCAGUGGUUCCUCUUUCAUAUCAGACAUCCGGACAAAUUCCGUCUUGUCCGCCACCAAAUAUAUUGAAAUAAAUUCAAAACUUGGAACAUAACACGCUUUGAUUGUGCCGUUGGCUCUUCUCUUACUCACUUGAAUGAAGCCGCGGUGGAUUAGUUCUUUUAAGUAAAAUUCGGCAGUUUCCUCACUGUUGUAUGGAAUUAAACCUUCAGCUAUCCACAACUGACAUAAUUGCGCGGUAGAUAUCUCAAUGCCGGGGCGGAAGACACACAAAUAGAUGCAGCAGACUUUCAAGUAAAAAGGUAACUCCCACACAGAACAAGUUCGACUGAAAACUGUCAAAUUUAUUUUUUCAUUCAUAUAAUUUUCUGAUGGCGCACUUCCAUAGUGUAAGAUAAAAAAUUGCCAGGCCUCAUGCUUUAAUCUGAUCAAUGGUCCUUCAAUGAGCACUGAAUCAAGCCGAAUCUCCUCUCCGUUUUCCAUUUCCAACGACGUAAGGAGUUCUGGAUCAGUGACCAAUAUCAAUACUCUGCUUCCAUUCUGAUUAUCAGGAAGAACUUCUUCAAGAUCAUCCCAUAUCUCAAUGUUAUCGCAGACAUCAUCAAGCACAAUAAAGUACUUCUUCUUUGCUAGGAAAUCUCGAAGAAUAGUUUUCUUCAAUUGAUAAUCUUCACCGAUAAUUACACUAACCCCAGAUGGAGGCAUCACAGACUUGAUUAUGUCAUCCAAUAUCAUGCGAAAAUCGUAGGCCACAGAAACCCUGACCCAAGCAAGACAGUCAAAAUAGAACUUGACAUGAUUAUUAUUGUAAGUAUCUGCAGCAAAAGCAGUCUUAUCGAAGCCAUUGCUGUCGAGUAUUGCAACCACUGCCAGCCCAGAUGGUCCAUCUAUUGAUUGAGGGACCAUCUGGGCUGGCAGUGGUUGCAAUACUCGACAGCAAUGGCUUCGAUAAGACUGCUUUUGCUUAUUUUGUUACUUUGUUCACUGAUAUCAAAACCAUUGUCGCCGGGUGGAAGUUGUUGAAUCCGAUUUCUAAUAUCAAUGAUUUUACUGUGGAGUCCAACAAGAAAAGCCAUCUUAGUACUACUUUCACUUUCGUUUUCACCGUUUUGCUGCUGCAUGAUUUUGAUGAAGAAUGUGUCAAUGGCUUCCUCAGAUUCAUGGACAAAGUCAUUGAUGUCGUUCAGAAUUUCCAGAACGUCUGCUCUUUUAACGUCUUCUUCAUCGCUUUCUUCUGCCUGCAACAGUUGCGAAAAAGGCAAAGAUAAUUUGUAUUCAUCGAAUCGUUCUUUAACGAGUUGAAACAAAAGCCGAGCCAUGUCAGAUUCAUAGUUUCCCAGCAGAGUGGUAGCAAUAAUUUCGGACUCCGUAAGAAGGUUUUUAAAAAGGGGAGUUAAAUUUGUUGAAUCAGGCAAAGUCAACGCGCCUUCUUCACCUGCUAACACCCUUUUUAACCUCUCACAAAAUAGUCGGAGGUGGACGUCCAGCAUAUCUCCUUCUCUCUGUAGCGGCCAGAGGUAUUGUUAUUUGCUACAAGAAAUGUUAAAAGGAUUGGUCCUAUCUCAAAGUCGUUAGUGGUGUCAAAUUAAACGCCAUGGGAGAAUUUGAAAGGAAGAUGCCAAGAAACUGGCUAAGUGGCUAAAUUCCACAAAUACGGCAUUAUUGCUCAUUUUUAACUCAAAAAAUUGAUACGCGUUCAUUUAGCGAAAAGUCCAAGACGCGUGCCUUUUGAGAAGAACCGGUAUCCAAUAGGUAUUCAACUUUAUCUUAUUUAAGGCAAAGCUUACGUUACAAAUAAUGUAACAAACAACCAAUAAAUAUAGAUCAUUUAAUUAUUAGCAUGACAUGAUUGAUGGUGCUUAAAUCAAAUGUUUUUCUUUUUUAAUUUAAAGAAUUUUUCAUGAAACAAAUUAUUUUAAUAUCAAAUUGCCUUCAAUGGCAUAACUGCCGCAAGCCAGUGACAGAAUUAAUUAAAAAUUUUAGAAUUCUUGGGCAUGGAAAUGGUAGUAAACAUCAUAAAGCUAAGGUUGUUCUGUAAAAGAACUGAUAUUGACAUAAUUUUAUUUUGGUUUUCGGGGAAAACAAUAUUUGUUGACAAGCAAGAAAAUAUUUUUAUAUUUUACAAUUUAUUAUACAUAUUUUAUCAUAUUAAAGUAAUUUUAAUAAUAAAUAGAAACAUAAUAUUACAAUAAAUAAAUUAAAGUUUAAAUUAUUUUGAAUAUUAUAAAAAGUAAUUUUAAUAUUAUUAAUAGGAAGACUUUUGUUAAUUGUAAAAUCUUUUUAAUCCAAAGAUUUAUUUAAAAUUCUUAUAAUAAAUACAAAUAUAAAAUUAAAUAUCAAAAUUUAAAAUUUUUAAUAUUAUUUAAAUUUUAAAAAUACUUUAAUGUUAUUAGUCUUCUACAUAAAUUAUAUUAUUUAUAUUAUAUUUGUAUUGAUUAAAAUCUUUUAAAGUCGAUCUUCUAGUUAUUAUAUGCAAAAGGUAUUAUAUCAUAUUACAAUUUUUUUAAAUUUUAGGGAUGUAGGUUACGAUGAUUUAUUUCACUUUUGACGAAAUCCAAUGAGAAAUAUGAUAAGAGAAAGUCAAUUUAACGUUCUCUACCUUUAUGAAAAAAAAAAUAAAAACUAAGAAUUAUUUAAUUUUAUAUUUUUUGCAUCCACCAAAUAAGUUUUGCACAUUUAUGUUAUCAUAAAACGAAAAAAAGGGUUUACCAAAAAAUGGUACCAAGCAUACCUUUAAUGUCCCACGUGAUUUCUUAUUAAGCCCAAUAUUAGAUAUAUUUAUAGAUUUUACUGCAUAAGUAUUUUAAUUAUAAAAGAAGUUGGUCCUUCCUCUAGUUACAAAAGAUAACUUUAUUUCAAGACUACCACUAAAUUCUUACGGAGAAUUAGUGCAAGGCCAAGAGAGAGUAACACAAUUUUACUUUUCCAUUACCAUUUUGAAAAUAGAAAGAUAUGGAUCCGUGUAUUUAAGAGUUAUUGUAAAAAUCAUACAAUUCAAUUUCCUGACGUGUAUUAUGUAUAUUUAGGCACAUUUGCCAAAAGCGUAAAUAGAUAGAAAGUAAAUUUACAAUCCACCCUUACUCACAAUUAUUGAAGUGAAGAUGCAUUACAACUGUCACUGCUUUAACUACAUUUAUUUAUUUAUUUGUUUUAAAUAAAAGUGUGAGAGAGACGGUGAACAUCAUGGACGAUAACAAAGGUUAAAGCCUAAAGGUGACCCAUUUUCUUUUUUAAAGUGCUCUGCUGAAAGCCAAACUUCCUUUGGAUCCGCCUAAGUUACUGCUGACGCAACUUACAGCUGCUUUGUAAAAUUUUAUAAAGCCCCUUAUACUCUAUAUUAUUACGUUAUAACUUAACUUACUAUGAGAUUUAUCUUACUUAUUUAUAAUUUGUUCAUAAAUAUUAUAAAACUUUCUGCAUUAUAUAAUUUUAUUGAGCCCCUUAUACUAUAUUUUAUUUCAUUGAAACCCUUAGAGUACUAAUUCGCCCUCUAUAAUUUUAAAUUCCUAAAAUAUCCUCCAUUUAAUUAAAAAUAUAAUAAUUAUUAAAUGGAUUAUAAUUAUAAUUAUUAUUUUAUUAUAAUUAUUAUUAAAUGGAUUAUAAUUAUCUGGAGUACAAAUUCAGUAAUAAACAAUAACUGAAGUAUUAACAAUUUAUUCAUCAAAUAAAAUACUCGAGAUUUCAGCUGACAAAUCCUCUUGUCUAAACUAAAAAACUCAUAUCCCUAAAAUCUAUUUGUGAAAUGUUAGAGAUGAGUGGUGAUUUGUCAACUGGGUAAAUAUAUUUAUGCAUAAUAUUUCCGGUAUUGAUAAAUUACAUAAUAAUUAUUACAAAGAAAUCAUAAAUUGGAAACAUUAAUCAUUUUACAAUAUGUUACAUAAGUAAGAUAAAUCUCAUAGUAAGUUAAGUUAUAACGUAAUAAAUAUUUUCAACAUAUAAUUAUUUAAGAAGUCAUUUAACAAUAAUAUUUUUUAUAUUUCAGUUGAUCAUGUCAUAUAGCGUUAUCUAAACUCUUGGCCAUAUUAUUAUUACUCAAUUUUUCUCCCAAAAAAAAAAACAAAAAUGAUUAACGAUUAGAGAAAAGUCAUGCCUUUUAGAAAGAAUACGUAUACAGCCUAUCCCAUACUUUUAUCUUUACCAUGAUGGGGGAUUAAAUUUAUUUUUUAAAUUAAAUUUAAUGCACAAUUAUGAUGACUUUUUGCAAAAAUUAGUUUCGGAAGAUAUAGUGGUAGAAAAUAGUGAUGAUUAUUGUUUAAAUGUGUAAAUAGUUUAAGCAUAGCCCGUAAUACCAAUAUUCAUUUGCACCUUCAUUUGGAUUAUCAUAUUUUAUGAUGUUCUUUCAUUCAUAACCAUUGUUCAAAAUUUGGAUUUGAUCAUAAAACAAAGCUAAAAAAUAUUAGAGAUACUAACAAUUGAGUCCCAUUUUAAGUCCCAAUACAAUGUGUCAUUUCCCAAUGCUGUAUCAUUUUAGGUGAUGAAUUUCAGAAUUAAUAAUUAGUUCAGACUUAAAUUAAGAUUUAGUUAUUAAGAUAUCUAGCAUCACUCAAUCACAAUAAACAAUAACCAAUUCAAAUUGGAACGGAAUAUUGUAUUUUCUUUUAAUUAAUUAUGAUGCAUAAGCAAGUAUUUGUGCUUGGGUUUUUUACUUCUUGAUUUUGUUUGGAAAAAUUUAUGAGACAAAGAAGUGUUUUGGAUAAUUUUUUCGGGAUUGAAAAUUUGAAACCACAACUUGGUAGAAGAAAUUAGUUGUGAACAAUUUUUUCUUAUAUUGUAGGACCUUCUAGUUGGAGUAGUGAUGGCUUUGUCUUCAUUUUUGGUUCCAUUUGUGUCGGCAGCCCCUUACUAUUCUCUUGACCCUGAGUUUGAGAUGAAAAUUUAUCAACCUCCAACCCCACAUCCAAAAACAAGUUGAUUGAAACAAUUGCUCUUUAAAUUAAGCGGACCCAAAUGAGUUAGGUUUCAGUUCUUAUCAUUUGUCUAUUAUUUCUUUGAAACAUGUAUUUUGAGCAUUACUGAUCUUAAUUAUCUGUAUUUCUCCAAUUAUUGAAGAAUUUCAUGUGGCCACUUUUUCUCCUUUUAAAAUAUGUUUAUUUUUUGGAGUGAUCAAACGGGUGUAGAAUCAAGUAAUCGCUGGUCUGUAGUUUAGCCAAUGAUGGCUCAUCCACACAGUUGAAUAUAUGAUACAAUUAGCUCUCAAAAUCUUUCUUAUUUGAGAACAUAAAUUGCCCAUUAAAGUUAAACUAUGUUACCCAGCUCCAUGCACAUACAUUAAAUGUGUAGGUAGUUUUACAAAAUGAUAACAGCAUGCCAAAACUCGUUGUUGUCAUAUUCGACAUUUCAAAUUGAAAAAUAUGCAAGCAAUCUUCAGUGAACAUUACAUGUUUAUUCAAUAAUUUAAAUGGCCAGUAAAUCAACAGUCCAUGAGUUUUAAAUCUAUUAUGACUUAAUGUAUCUUUCUGUAUUCGUACACAGGUUAUAUUAUCAUAGUUUAAAAU
rnacentral:lncRNA from 1 species